rnacentral:lncRNA from 1 species
UCAAUUUGCCUCAUGUCGACCCUUCCGGUCAAGUAGAGAUACUUAUUAAGUAGAUCACCAUGCCUGUUUUCUUCAGCAGUCCAAGCCCUUGUCCAUAUUGCCCAAGGAGUAAGGCUAGCACCUGUUUCAUCACGAACUCCAUCUAAGGUAUUAAGCAUUGUUUGGUAAGUUGGAAGAGCUUCCUCUGUGAUCAUGUCACCAACCAAAACAACAAAGUAAUCAUCUGGAAUCUCCUUUGCCCUUUCCCUAAGUUCUUUGACUUGCUCGUGAAAUCCAUCUGAUGCAGGAUCCGGAAGAAAAUCUUGGGGUUGCCAACAUUUCUCAACCGGUUUGAGGUAAGUUAGAAUGUUGUUCUCAGCCCAGUCCUCCAAAGAUUUGAAGAUCUCAAUCUUCUGAGGUGGCAUCGAGUGCGUGACCUGAACAUGCACCUCCCUAGGAGGCAUGAAAGGCUUCUUGAGAUCAACCUCUCUGCAUUAAGUGAAAUGAAUUCCCAAUUACUUUCUUAUCAACCAGAUAUGUCAGUAACGAUAAAAGGAAACAAUAAAAUGUAAAAGCACAAAACCCAUCUCACAAAUUUGUCCACGGCAUGUACCAGGAAAUACAGCACAUGAAAUGCAAAAGCAAUGCAAAGAAACAGGCAUUAUAUAUGCACAACAGGACUAAAUUUCAUCUUUGAGGGUAGAAGUUCACAUAGACCAAGUAGAGAAUCAAAUGAGAGACCGGAUGUUACAAUUGUGAGCAUCGGAGUAAAAUAUAAGGACCAAUGCAGCAGCAGACCCACUUGCAGAACUACAGUAGUAUAAAUAAGUGAUACCAUCUGAGAAUUCAUCUCAUUAGAUUUGAAGUAGGCAUGGAAUGUAAACUAUCCUGCUUUUAAGUGCAAUUAUCAAUUAUAUAACUUCGUCUUUCAUUUCAAAACAAAAUUAUGACACAUCCAAGGAAAGUAAUCAAAUUAUCAGAAUUUUCGUUGGGUGGGACCCAUUUAUAUGCAAUGUCAAGGCAUUAAAUUACCAUUUAUUUAUAAGGAAAAGCACAAGUAACUAUCAGCAACUCUCAACAACCAUAAGAACAGACACCAUAUGAGGGAACCAACAGAGAAACUCAAACCAAACAGAAGGAAAAGUGCAUCAAACUAACAGGAGAAAAUGGAUAGAUGUCUAUUCAUCAUUACCUAACAUAGUAUUUGAAAACUAGAUCAAGAAUGGACCACAAAGAUGCCCAAAACUGAUACCAGGAAGAAAUCUAAAAAAUUACUUGAAAUGUUCAUUUUCAAAUACAUGAAUAUUCAGCCAUGACUUAAAAUUUGUAAGGAAAUCACCAAAUUUCGGUGACCUAAUAACGGAAGGUAAGAAUGUCAAGAGUAUCAAUACUAGGUUCAGGUUCAGCAAUUAUACUAGUCAAACAUACACAAAAUGAUACAAGUUAAAAGAUAAAAACAAAGAAAAAGUACGAAAUACUCGGUUGAUUAAAAUGUUAAAUGAAGUAGAUUCAAAGGAGAAACGCAAGCAUUUUCAAAAAAUUGUGCAAGAAAAAGAAGCAAUCAUGGAGACAUUUUAUUCAGUUUAAAUACCAUGUUUAUAUGAGAGAAUAAAGCGUACAAUGAAUGAAUGGUGAUUGCUGUACUUAUAGCCAAAUACUUAUCCAAGAAUCAAAAAGAAAAUAAGUCCCAAAAUUCAAACUGAAAGAAUUCAACUUGAAAGAUAACCAAAAUCCUAAAGACUAGGAACUAAAUUAGAUUUCUGACAGAAGUUUAAAUAAUUUAAUGAUAAGAUCACUACUAGUUUAAAGAAAAGAAAAAGGAAUAACACAAUAUCAAAUCAAGGAAGGAGGACAACAUAUUCUGAACUACUUCAACCAAAUUGAAUAUUCUUUUCAAAAUGUAGAUUCAACUAUAUUUUAAAAACAAAAUGGAACCAUUUGAAAAAAAAAAGGAAACAUUAUGUUAUACAUCAGCUAGUCUAGAGAAUCUGAACUACUUCCACCAACUUGAAUUUUCUUUUCAAAGACAGAUUCAACCAUAUUGAAACAAAUUAAAAUGACAUAAAUGGAAAAUCGGAAGACCGUUUGUGUGGAACACUUGCAUGAUUCGCAAUCAAGUUAAACACAGUGGAUAACAUGGAUGCAGAUGCAGCAUGCACAAUGAUAUAACAUUAGCAUUCUCUUCAUAGAAAUAAAUUUAGAGAUGGGCACGGAUGAAGCAACACAUUUAACUACUUGCAUUUGUGGAUGAGCCCCAGAAGUCCAUAAAUGAGACAUUAUCAAUUUCAGACAAAUGAUGCACUCUCAACCGAUCAGUUGAUCAUAAACUUGGAAGAACAUGCUUCGAUACAAUUUGCAUGAAUACUAAUAAGGCAAAUACGGAUUAACUAGACAAAAUAUAAGAUUCUUUAAAAGAAAAAAAAGUACGUAUAUCACAACAGAAAUAGCUUCCCAGUAAUUCAAACCCCAAGAAAAUUUAAUUCCUUCAGAAAAAAAUAGUUGAGAAAAUAAUUAAUAUCCUAACCACUCCCAAAACUACCAAACUGUAAUAGACAAAUAGAAAAUUAGUGAAGGCCCUAACAUCAUAGAUUACAGCAAAGAGACCAGACAAUCAAUAAUGGUUAAGAAUAUUUCUAAAAUACAAUUUACAGGGUAUUUUCGGUUUCAUUAACUCCUCUCAAACAAAAACGAGACAUGAAGCAGGAAAAACCAAAUAAUUGAUUUUUCUUGAAAGUUAACAUCACAAAAAAAAAAAAACUAUUGAUAAGAACAAGCUAUCGAAAAACAUGUUCCACAUUGCUUUGAUCUUUACAUCUUUCGUUCAAACCAUCCAAAACACAUUUAACAAUGGAAGCUGUCCACAUCAAAUUAGAAACCAGCAUAUCUUACAGUUAAACAAAUCUUAAAAUCCAACAAGAAACACGCGCAUCAAGAUUAAUAUACUAGAGAAUAUGCUAAGGACAAAAAAAAAAAAAAAAAAAACCUUGGAGCCUUCACAUAAUAGCUACAUAAAGCUAGAAACUUAAAUAUGACACAUGGACCUCUUUCACUCUCAAGAUCCUUAUCAGGCGAUAAUUCCAAUGAAGCACAUAACUCAGUCUAAAACCAAGUUAUCAAAGUCUCAAUUUUUAUAAUAAAAAUACAAAACAACCCACCAAACAUGAAACCAAAUCACAAAAAGAUCAAAAUAAAGAAGGAAAACACAAAUUUUUAAAAAAAAAGAAAAGAAAAGAAAAAGAGAGAGAGCAAAAAUUAUUUAAAGAAACGUGUUUUCCCUAUUCUUGCACCUUAAUCAGUAAACCUUACAUACAUAAAAACAUAAUACAGAGCUAGAAAGUAUAAACAUUUAAAAAGAAACGAACCUUAUUUCAGUCGUUUCUAAAUUGAAAGUAUUAUCCCAAACAGAAAAGAACAACAUUACCGUUAAACAACAAGAACAUUAAGAUCACAAGAUAUAUGUUAGUUAGCAGAAAAGAAAAAAGACCCAGAUGCAAAAUGAGGUAACAAUAACGGAAGAAGAAUCAAAAUCCAUGAUUUAACAAUAAAAUAUGAAAGAAAGAGACGAACUUGGAACCAGAACGAAGAGUAGAGGCCAUGAAAAACUUGGGAGACCUAAGGCCGGCCAUUGGUGGAAGAGCAAAUGAAGGGAGUUUCUGAGAUUGAAAAGUGAUGGGGUUGAAUUUCAGAGCCAUUUAUUUUUAGGUAUUUGGGGGGUUUAAGAGCUCUUUUUCUUUUUUGUUUCGGUUUGAGUUCUCGAGCUUUGGCAGCUUCAGUUUCCUCCACAGAAAGUGCAAACGCUUCUCGAAAGAAACAUAGCCUAUUUAAGGGAUACAGACCUUCAUUAUAUUUUAACAUUACCCCUCACUUUCCUUUUAAUUACUAAUUGCGCAUUCAUUUAUUCCUUAUUAUUUAUUGGAGGAGCCACUAUUUCAAUGAAAAGUUAAAAAUGACAAAAUAAAUUGGUUAAAAUAUUCAUUCAUGAGUAUGAUGUACAUAUGGUACGUCAUGUAUAAUUAUUUCAUUUAUUAUGUCAAUUUUUAAUUGUAGAAUAGAUAAAAUUUUUAACAAAUUGAUAUUUUUCUACAUAAAUUAAUUUAUUCAUUUUUUAAGUGGAAGGAGCCAAAAUGCAAUUGAAUUUAUAAUAUAAUGGUAAUCAUCCUAUUUUAUAUUACAAUUAUAAUUUUAUUAUCAAAUAACACUUCAAUUAAAUUAAUUAAAAUUUGUAAAAUUUUAAUUUAAAAUCUGAAUCAUAUCAAGUUUAAGGAAUAAUGGUAAAAGGAUUAUUGUUUUGUCUACCAAAUAUUUUUCAAAUGUUAGGUUUGUAUUGCGAAAGUUAAUUAGUGUUUACUCUUUCUCUAUUUUCAAUUUACAACAUUAGAAAAAACAUAUUAAAUAUUCAGAAUUAGAAUUUGAGUAGUAAUAUAAAAUAUUCCAAAAUAAAUAAAAUCAAUAACGUGAUGACAUAAAAGGAAAUGUUUCAUCAUAAAAAGAAAAAACAUUUGUAGUGGACCACCCUUUCCCAUGUAGAGGUCUCCAUCAACAGCACAAAUAUAUGCUUGGAAUUCCUUUAAGAAAGAUAAUGGUCACUAUAAACAAAUUCUUCCAGCCAACCAAAAAAUGAAAUUUGUAAAAUAAUUACAAAGAAAUUUUCUAUUAUAAGGUAUGCCGAAGUUAAAAGGAUACAUACAUAUACACCAUAUAUAUUAUUAUAUUAUUAUAUAUUUAAGUUGUUGAUUAAAUUGGUGUAACCUACAUUAAUCGAGUUUCAACUCAAUUGAGAAAUUAUCAAAAAUUAUUACUUUUAUAAAGUAGCAAAUAUUAUUUUCAAGGUAUUUGAACGGUUAUGUUUCAAUAUGACAAGAUGGUAGUAUCCAUGUUACAUUUAAAACAACCAAUCAGGGGUCUCAACUAGUACCAUAGGCGAGGUUGAUGCUUGAAAGAUGCACCUUGGACACAUUGGAAAACCAUAGUUGCCUCUCGCCAAACUUGAAAGAACGUGUCUACAAAAGAAACAAUUUGGGAAGGUUGAAUCACCACAUUCUUCCAACACAAUAGGUUUCGGUGGAACCAAAUACUCCAAGAAAUAGUGAGAAAACAUUUGCUACAAGAGGAGUUCGAAAGAUGAAGAAAAGUAAUACAUUUAAUCAGUAAACGAAUUAUGCGCAUAAACCAUGCCAAGACUAUUCCAAAUAGUCGCAACAGUUGAACAAUAAAUAACAACAUGCUCCAAACUCUCAUUUUCCACACAACUAGUGCAACUUGGAUCAAUGACGCAACCCUUCUCAAGUAAACGACUUUUUCUUGGGGUAAUAUGUUACAACCCUCGCCAUACAAAGGAUUUAAUUUUUGAUGGAAGAGUCAAGUUCCAAAGUCUCUACCAAGGUUCCUCAACCGCAAACGAUGAGCAACACGAUAGUUAGACUUCACAUUGUAUCGACCAUCCUUAGGAAAAUGCCAUAUAAGUUGAUUUGGUGGCUUAGAAAUCAAAAAAAGAAUGCUAAGAAUUUUCAUAGCAUCUCGAGGCGCCAAGAGUCCCUCAACGAGAGAAGAAUUCCAACUUGAACCAUCGUUAUUCCACAAAUCUUUCACAAAGAAAUUUGUAGACCCCCGUCAAGCCUCAAAUUCAACAAAAAAAUUAUCAUCAUUAGGUAACCAAGGAUCCUCAAAAUCCCGAAUACAAUUACCAUCCUCAAUCUCCAAUAAAGACCUUUAAAAUACAAAUUUAAGACCACAAAGACACUCCUCUUAAUGAAAGAGUUGAGACUUUGAAGACCCAUACCACCGUGUUUUUCAAGCACAUAGAGCUUAUACCUAGAGGACUAAUGAAUACCCUUUUUCAAACUUGACCUUGAAUCCCACCAAAAGGAAUUCAUCAUUCGUUAGAGUUCCUCACAAGUACCUAAAGGGAUCAUAAUUCAUGAAGAUCCUUAUGCAAUAAACUUGUAAUGCUUGGGCUAAUAUUUUAAUAACAAUCUUUUUUACCAAUAAUGACUGUGAGAAAUCGGCUCCGGCUCACUCAAAAUGGAAUAAGAAGGUUGUCUUCUAUGCUAGCUUGUAUUAGAGCUAAACAUGAUACUAGAAUUUUGGAAAUUUAUAAGUUAACCCAAAGCUUCUACAUAUGUUGAAAUAAUAUUUUUAACAGUUUGAAACUCUAAAUUAGUUGCCUAAAGAAAGAAAAAGUUAUCAUUCACAAAAAGGAGGUAGGAAACACAAGGGUUUCCCCCUACAAAUACAAGCCCCAUAAAGCUCUCCAUGCACUUUCACUUGUCGAAACAAAAAGCUCAACCCUUCUGUACAUAUGAUAAACAGGCAAGGGGAUAGAGGAUCUCUCUAACACAAACCCCUAUACGGGAUAAUGAGACUAAUUUACCAUUCAAAAUAAUCGAAUAUUAGACAAGGGAAACACAUAACCUCAUCCAACUAAUCUAUUUCGCAUCAAACCCUAGCUUAGUCAAAAGAAAACCUAAAAAGUCCUAACUAACAUUGUCAUAUGCCUUAUUGAUAUCUACUUUCAUAGCAACCUUACCCACUUUUCCAUGCCCUUUACUCUUUAUAUAGUGAAUGAUUUCAAAAGCCAUUAGCACAUUAUCAGUUAUAAGCCGCAUAAGAACAAAAGCUUGCAAAGGCAAGAUGAUCUUAAGCAAAAUAGUUUCCAAUCAGUUGGAAAAAGUUUUAGGAAGGAUCUUAUAAACAACAUUGCACAACAUGAUGGGUCAAAGAUCCUUUAUACAAUCGAGCUUUUUUUUCUAAGAUUAAGGACCACAAUAGUUAUUGGAAAAAAUUUGGUUCGAAAACGACUUUAUUGCACAGUAGAAAAAUAAAAAUUUUAAAAAUCAAACUGAUUUGUGAUAUUUAUAUUUCUUUCCAAAAAUAGUACAUGUUCUUUGAGAGAGACGGAUCCUAAAUGUUCCCGACUUUCAACUGCACGGCCUUCUCCACUAUUCUCAUAUCAUAAACUGCUUCGAGUGUGAGCUUGAACAAUUUUGAAUCAAACACAGAACCAAAAAUAAUUUUCUUACUUUUAAUAGGAAAGUAAAUCUCUCUCUUAUAGAAACUAGUAGAAUUGUUAUUCUCGAAAAUAGAAUUUAUACUUAGAAAUAAAUUUUGUCUAUUUUCGAGCAGAAUAACAAUAUUGAAAACUUAUGUGGAACUUUUGUUCUUGUGGUGUUUUUUUAGCCAUACCGGUGCUAUCUAUCUAUAGGGAAAGGAAGUGAAACCCUAAAUGUAACGCCCUAAAUCUGACCUAGACGGGAAGACCAAGUCUAGGAUGUCAAAUGAACUUACCAGAAAAUAUAUACACUUAAAUUCGGUUUAAUCGAUACAUAAAUAAGUCUUAAAACCGUUAAUCAUUCAACAUAAUUAGAUAUUAAAACUUACAUUCGGAAACAAAUAACAAGUUUAAACACACACACACACACGUAUUUAAAAUAGAACCAUUAGAUGACCGAGUCUCGUGUCCGCCUGCCGCUUAGUUCUAGGAGGUUCCUGAAAUUCAUUCAGUCUAGUUAGUACGUUGCAACCAAAUGUAAAAUAUAAAUACUCAACAUGCGUAAAAUAACUCAAAUAUCAUUAAGAAUUCAAAUAGCACACUCAGUCUUAUUCGAUCAUAUUAGUAAUUCACAAUAGUUUCGGAUACGGAGCAAUUCAGAUACACAGCAAAUCAGAUAUAGAAACAUAUUUAGAUGUAAAUACAAAUAUAGAUGCAGUUAUCCUACCCCCAUCCGCAACACACCAUCUCCAACCAACCCAACAAACUAGUAGGUAUAUAAUACUCAUCCAGCCCUACACACCUCAUAGUGUCGGUACGACACGUUACAAUAUUUACAGUCUCACUACCAGAUUAGACAUAAUUACGGGUGGUUUGACCACCAAAUCAGUACAGAACACUUCCUUCAAUUCAUAAUUUUCGCCCCAUGCAAAUGCAGAGAACAAAUGACCAAUAUAUAUUCAUGCAGAUACAAUCAUACAGUUUCAAUAUAACAAAAGGGUUGAAAUUCUUACGAAUUGUCUCAUACAGUAUGUAAAACCAAUUUAUAAUCAUGAUAAAACAGAUAAUACAAAUUAGUUUAGUUCUUACAUAUCCUACAGACGGCUUACACUCGCCUCGUAUAACAAUUACGACGUUAAUAAAAAUUUGGUGAUUCAGGCUCACAUGCCCAUGUAGGUGCUUGUGUGACUCCACACGGUCUCGCACACAGCCGUAUGACUAUUCAUGUGCCCCUAUUCACUAAGUCAGUGAGUUGCACAGUCUGGGCACACACCCAUGUGCUACCCAUGUACCUCACACGGUUCGACAAACGCCCGUGUCCCCUGCCCGUGUGUUCUUAAUGCAUAAAUAAUGAGUCACACGGUCUGGACACAUACCCGUGUGACACUACACCUUAGUAUCUCACUCAUGGCCUACCACAUGCCCAUGUAGCUCGUUCGUGUGUCUCAAAUUUGAAGUCAUUCAGUUACACAGCCCACCGCACGGCUUUUCACAUGCCCUGCACACACGUCCGUAUGGCAGCUCGUGUACCGUAAACUAUCCUAUUUUCGACGAGAAAAAAACGCUAAAAAAAAAGGUUUCAAUAUCUUACCUGAAACAGCGACAACCCAGAAGCAAUCCCGAGACUCCCAAAGCCUAGAAACCAAAUCUAAUUACUCAAUCAAUGGAGAUUCAAAGGGAUAUGCUAAAUCACAACAACAAUCAAUGUCGAAACUUCAACGCACAAACUCAAAACAAACAAAACUUGCUUAGCAAAAGUUCAACAGUGCACACACGAGUUCUAAAUGACGAGAGAAGCGUUAGACGUCACUUGACCUUCCCCUAACCUUCUAUAAUCAUGAGCAAACAAAGCAAAACAAAACCGAUCAACACCAUCACUUUGGGAUUUCAAAGAAAUUCAUAAUUCAUACCUAACAACCAGAAUUACUAUGGUUUAAUAUUAACUUUAAGCAUCGAACAACCAACAGUACGACACAAUUCAAUAAUUAACCCAACAGAAUGUUAUACGAAGAGGAAUUCAAGAACGAUGCCAAAAAGAAAGAAAAAAUAAAAAUAAAGUGAGGGAAAAAGAAGUUAAACGUAUAAGGAAACUCAUUUAAAAUUUUAAGAUCGGUAUUUAUGUGGAAGUGCAAAAAUAAUAUUCCUUAAUGCACACGCAGAGAUUCAAACACAAGACUAAUGAAACAGAAAAAUACUUAACCAUUGAACAAUUAGACAUCGUUGAGACAUCAACGCACAAAAUUUAACUUAUGUGACACAUGCAAGUCUAAAAUUCAAUCAAAGAAUACGCAAAACUUCAAAAGAUGCGACUCGAACCGCAGACCUUUAGUGAGCAACUAGAGCACAUUACCACAGAAAUACCCACAUUUUCAUUAACACAACCUAAUAAGAAAACUCACAUUUUUUCGGUGUUACAACUCUCUGCUUCUAAAAGAAAAUUUUGGCCUCGAAAUUUUACUUAAUUCAAAUAGAUGCGGAUAUUGAUGGCGUAUCAAAUCUUUAGGUUCCCAAGUGGCUUCCCCGAUACCUUGAUUCUGUCACAAGACCUUAACUAGAGGUAUAGUCUUCCUUCGCAAGACUUUAACAUCCCGCUCCAGAAUUUGAACUGGUUCCUCCUCGAAGGUCAGAUCAAGUUUCACCUCAAUCUCCUUUAUAGGCACUAUGUGAAAAGGGUCAAAUCGAUAUCUUCGUAACAUCGAGACAUGGAACACGUCAUGGAUUUGAUCAAGUUUAGGUGGCAACUCAAGUUUAUACGAAACCAGUCCAACCCAUUUUAGAAUGUAGUAAGGUCUGAUAAAUCUCGAACUUAACUUACCCUUUUGUCUGAACCGAAGGACCUUUUGCCACAACGAUACUUUCAGAAACACUUGAUCGCCCAUAGAGUACUUAAUAUAUUUUCUUUUUAAGUCAGCAUAUGAAUUCUUUCGGUUAGAAGUAACUUUUAGACGAUCUCGAAUCAAUUUAACUGUGUUCUCAGUUUCAUAUACUAACUCAGGACCCAGAACCCUUCGUUCACCUAACUUAGUCCAACAUAGAGGGGUACGACACUUACGACCAUACAGAGCCUCGUAAGAUGCCAUCUGAAUGCUAGACUGGAAACUGUUGUUAUACAUAAAUUCAGCUAACGGUAGGUGAUCCUCCCAACUGCCCCUGAAGUCAAUCACACAACUCCUAAGCAUACCGUCUAGAAUUUGAAUAACUCAUUCAGAUUGCCCGACGGACUAAGGAUGAUACGCAAUACUGAAAUCUAGUCGUUUACUUAAAGCCUCAUGCAGUUUCUUCUAGAAUCGGGAGGUGAAAAGUGAAUCUCUAUCCGUGAUAAGCAAAAUUGAGAUUCCAUGUAACCUCACAAUCUUAGACACGUACAAUUUAGCUAACCUCUAUAGCAAAAAAUUGGUUCUGAUUAGAAGAAAAUGUGUAGACUUGGUCAAUUGAUCAAAAAUGACCCACAUUGAAUCUUUUUUAGUGGGUGUCAGAGGUAACCUGCUAAUGAAAUCCAUUUUCACACGCUUCCACUUCUAUUAGGGAAUCUUGAUGACAACUGAUGCUUAACAUUGACCUUCUGACACGUUAGACAAAGAGAAGUGAAAGUAGUCACUUCUCGCUUCAAACUAGACCACCAGUACAACACUCAUAGAUUAAGGUACAUUUUAUUCCCAUCAGGAUGCAUAGCGUAAGGGCUGUUAUACACUUCCUCCAAGAUCAAUUGUCGUAAUUCACGGUCUUUAGGCAUACAAACCCGACUUCUGAAGCACAGAAUCCCAUCACUGUUCAAGCUAAAUUUAGAAGCUUCACUAGACACAACCUAUCAUAACCGUUGAACUAAAGACUCAUCAUCCAACUAUUUAGCUAGGAUCUAAUCAACCUAAGUUGGUUUAACUUGUAAUUCAGCUAACAGACUUCCAUUAUCAAAUAAAUCAAUUAAGCGAGCAUCACUCGCAGAUCAAACAUCGCUCGACAACUAAGAGCGUCGGCUACCACAUUAGCCUUACCAGGUUGAUACUUUAUGGUACAGUUGUAAUGUUUAAGCAAUUCAACCCAUCUACGUUGUCUAAGGUUUAACUCCUUCUAUGUUAAUAGAUAUUUGAGGCUUUUGUGAUAAUACACCUUUCACCGUACAGAUAAUACAUCUAGAUUUUAAAUGCAAACACUACUGCAGCUAGCUCAAGAUCAUGAGUAGGAUAGUUACCCUCAUGCGACUUAAGCUGGCGGGAUGCAUAAGCUACUACUCUACCAUAUUGUAUCAGAACACACCCUAAGCCGACGUGUGACGCAUCACUGUAAACCACAAAAUAUUUACCCGGCUCAAGCUGAACUAAAAUAGGAGCUUAUGUCAGAACGGACUUAACCUUCUCAAAGCUCGACUGAUACUCCUCAGACCACCUGAAUGGGGCAUUCUUACGCAGUAACUUAGUCAUGGGAGAUACAAUCAGGGAGAAUCCCUCGACAAACCACCGGUAGUAACUUGAGCUUCUCAAAGCUCGACUGAUACUCCUUAGACCACCUGAAUGGGGCAUUCUUACGCAGUAACUUAGUCAUGGGAGAUAAAAUUAGGGAGAAUCCCUCGACAAACCUUCGAUAGUAGCUUGCUAACCCGAGGAAAAUCCGAAGUUUAGACACAUUCUUUCUGCUGUUUCCACUUAACUAUAACCUCAAUUUUCUUAGGAUCCCCUCGGCAAUCACAACAUGCCCAGAAAGGCAACCUCAGACAAACAGAACUUGCACUUACUAAACUUAGCAUACAGUUGUUUCUCAUAGAGUGUCUGUAGUAUAAUACAAAGAUACUCGUCGUGCUCAAUUUCAAUCUUUGAGUAGAUUAGAAUAUCGUUGAUGAACACUACUACAAAUCGAUCCAAAUACUACUGAAAUACUCAAUUCCUCAAGUCCAUAAAUACAGUCAGGGAAUUCAUUAAGUCGAAAGGCAUAACUAGGAACUCUAAUGUCCGUAACGAGUCCUGAAGGCCGUCUUAAACACAUCUGUCUCCUUAACUUUGAGCUGAUAGUAACUAUAACGGAGAUCAAUCUUGGAAAACACAGAAGUUCCGCAGAACUAAUCAAAUAAAUCAUCGUUCUUGGGAGCGGAUACUUGUUAUUGACUAUUAACUUAUUCAGCUGAUGGUAAUCAAUACACAAUUUCAUUGUACCAUCUUUCUUCUUGACAAACAGCACUAGUACUCCUCAUGAAGACACACUCGGUUUAAUUAACCCUCGAUCGAGAAGCUCUUGAAGUUGAGCUUUCAGCUCAGCAAGCCCUUCGGUGUCAUGUAAUAUGGUACAAUCGACACUAGAGCUGUUCUAGGUAUCAGAUCGAUACCAAACUCAACUUUCCGAUUCAGCGGUACACCUAGCAAUUCAUCGGGAAAGACAUCCAAGAAGUCCUGGACUGUCUGAAUAUCAUUAAUAGAUACCUUAGCUGAAGUAGAGUCAGAGAUGAAAGUAAGGUAGGCCUCGCACCCUUUUCAGACUAAUUUUUUGACUAUGAGGGUGGAGAUUACAUUGGCAAGAUAAUCUCGAUGCUCCCCUAUCAUCACUAUCUCACAGUUCUCUUUCGUUCUCAAAGUAACCCUCAUAGAGUUACAACCGAGAGUGACUCGAUAUUCGACGAGGCAAUCUAUUUCCAGAAUCAGAUCAAACUCUCCAAAAUGUAGUUCUAUCAAAUUAGCCAGAAAUACAACCCCCUAAAUCUCUAAUGGUACACAUCUGUAAACCUUGUCAACCUGGAUGAACUGAUCUAAAGGACUAACCAUAGAAACCUUGCUAGUAGUAUAAUUAGUAGAAAUAUCCAAUUUCACAGAUACAAUACUAGCUAUGUAGGAAUGAGUAAAGCCUAUAUCAAUCAAGGUAAAAUAUAGUACAGAGUAAAUAAAGAAUGUACCCGCGAUAACAUCGGCGUUGUCCCUGUCCUCACGAUGCCUAGCCGUGUACACAAGUGUAGGCUAACGUGCCUCAGUCUGAGUCGCACCUCUGUCCGGUGCUCGUUGAUCCCUACUAGAACUAUUACUACCCCUACCGCUACCCUAACCUUUAGGUGACUGUGGAGUUACUUUCAGAGGUUAAAUAGUGCUCGUAAUCAUAACUGGUGCCGAAGUUGGCACUUGACCAGGUUGGUGAAGCAGUCUCAAACUUGGUGCCCCAUUGACCCACAACAGAGACAAUCUCUAAAUUUCCUCCAGCACUCACCCAGAUGGCAUCUACGUAAUCAGCAGAGCCCGAGAUCAUAUUAGAAGCAACUGACACUUCAUUUCUAAAAGGUCCAUUAGAUCUAGCUCGUUUCUUGGGGUGCUAAACAGAACUAGAAGGACCUGAAUCUUUCCUCACCUUACUCUGAGCUCUUUCCCGAUCUUUCAUUUCGUGCUCAGUGCGUUUGACUUCUUCCACUAUUUUGGCCUUAUCAAUUAAGAACGUAAACACCCGCUCCCUCUCAGUAGCUAUCUGAACACGUAGAUCAUAUCGCAAUCCGUCUUCAAACCGCACGCAUUUAUCAUAUUCAGUCGCAACUAGUGCUCGAGCAUACUUGCUUAAUCUUAGAAACUCAGCUUCAUACUCAGCUACAGACCUCUUCUCUAGAACCAGAUUCAUAAACUCGCAUCUACGAGCUGCAACAUAGCUAGGCCCCACAUGUUUACCCUAGAAUGUGCUCCUAAAGUAAUCCCAAGUAAUCAGUUCAGGUUGGGUGCCCUGCUCAACUGUUAGCCACACUACUAAGCCUCGUCUCGGAGAAGAGAUACCACACCGCUUAGUUUUUUUGUAGGUGUACAGUCGAUGUCGUUCAUGAUGUGCUCAAUAGCGACGAGCCAGUACUUAGUCACGAUAGAAUCGACUCUAGUGACGCCCCUAAACAAUUCGACACCGUUUGGUCAGAACCUUUUCAAUAACUGACCCCUAAACUCUAGUUCUAAUACUGUUUUCAGCGACCCUCUCCAGUACUCGUAAUAUCACCUGGGACACAAGAUCAUCUCUAGUUAGUGUAGUCUGAGACAUUGUCUCAGUAGUAGGAGUACCAACGGUCUCGUUGGUCUCCAAAAUAGGUAUGCUACCCAUGGAGGAUGACUUAACUCAAGCUCCCCCAUGACGCCCACGGCACCCACGUGACCCUCAUCCACGAAUUCCUUGUGAACUCAUACGUUUCAGUGUCUACAAUGUUAGAAGCGCACAGAUCAAUUUAAUAUUUCCAUCAAAAAUAUUAUAACUGUUUAUUUCAGGUUGCAGAAUUAACUAACAAAAACCAGUUAUCACAAUACAGUAUGCACACAACAUAUUAGAAGAUAUAUUUACAAGCGCGGUGUCAAAGACUUGGUCAUUUACUAAACCAGUUAUUUAACUCAUGAUAUAAAAAUAUUUUAUUUAAAGUACCUUUUUAUCAAAAUAGAGGCCUAAGUACACAUCCCGAGUGUUGUUUAACUUGGCUCUGAUACCACUAAAUGUAACACCCUAAACUCGACCUAGACGAAAAAACCAAGCCUAGGAUGUCAAAUAAACUUACUAGAAAACAGAUGCACUUAAAGUCAGUUUAAUCGAUACAUAAAUAAGUCUUAAAACCAUCAAUCAUUCAACAUAGUUAAAUCUUAAAACUUAAAGUUGGAAACAAAUAACAAGUUUAAACACACACACAAACAUAUUUAAAAUAGAACCAUUAUAUGAUUGAGUUCUGUGUCCGCCGGCCGCUUAGUUUUGGGAGGUUCCUGAAAUUCAUUCAGUCUAGUUAGUACGUUGUAACGUAAUGUAAAAUAUAAAUACUCAACAUACGUAAAUAACUUAGAUAUCAUUGAGAAGCAAAAUAACACACCCAGUCUUAUUCGAUUAGAUUAAUAAUUCAUAAUAGUUUCGGAUACAAAGUAGUUCAGAUACAUAGCAGAUUAGAUACAAAAAUAGAUUCAGAUGUAAAUAUGGAUACAUAUGCAGUUAUCCUACCCCCCAUCCGUUACACACCAUCUCCGACCAACCCAAUACACUAGUAGAUAUAUAAUACCUGUCCAGCCCUACACACCUCAUAGUGUCGGUACAACACGUUGCAGUGUUUAUAGUCUCGCUGCUAGAUCAGAUAUAAUUACUAGUGGUUUGACUACCAAAUCAGUACAGAACACUUUCUUCAAUUCAUAAUUCUCGUCCCAUGCAAAUGUGGAGAACAUAUGACCGAUAUAUAUAUUCAAGCAGAUACAAUCAUAUAGUUCCAAUAUAACAAAGGGUUGAAAUUCUUACAAAUUGUCUCAUACAGAAUGUAGAACUAGUUUAUAAUCAUGAUAAAGUAGAUCAUACAGUUCAGUUUAGUUCAUACAUAUCCUACAGACAACUCACACUCGCCUUUUAUAACAAUUAUGCGUUAACAAAAAUUUGGCGAUUUAGGCUAUAAAGAUCUCUUAUGAAUAAGGCAAGAUAACAGUUUAUUAUUCAAAAACGAAAAUUCUCUCUUUUCCACUUAUAAACUCAGUAUUUAAAGAAUAUACUACCUAGCUAUUAAUGAUAAUUGCUGCUAAUGUUUAACAGACUGAACUAAAUAACAAACUAACUGCUUAGCUAACUUCUAAUAGUAUUAGUUGAUACUUUAUACUUUAACAUUCACCCAUCUUCCUAACGGAAAAAACCUGAAAAGACUUCGAAACCGAGAAAUACGGAGACAAACAAUGGUUUCGUAAGAACGUCUGCAACUUGAUCACAUACAGGUACCUCACCCACAACUAAAGAUCUAUCAACAACUUUCUCACGUACAAACAACAGGUCAAGCUCUACAUGUUUUAAACUUAGAGUGUAACACAGGGUUUGCAGCAACUGCAACUGCACUUGAGUUAUCACACCAGAUAUUAGGAGAGUCAUCAGACUGAAGCUGUAACUUCUUUAGUAAUGACGCUAGCCAAACAACAUCACUUGUCGCCGCAGCAAGUUUUCGAUAUUCAACUUCAGUUAUGGACCGAGAAACAACUACUUGUUUAUUAAAACACCAAGACAAUGGAUUGUGACCAAAAUACACACAGUAGCCAGUCGUGGAGUGACGAUUAUCAAAAUCCAGCCCCCAAUUCGCAUCGGCAUACCCAACUAAAGAAAGCCGAGUAGACGGAUGAAAAAUAACCUCACAAUCUAGAGUUCCACUCAAAUACCACAAGAUGCAUUUUAACGAAAUUAGAUGAACAAUAGUGGGUGCAUGCAUAAAUUGAUAGAUGCGAUUUACUACGUAAGAAACAUCAGGCUGAGUUAAAACCAUAUACUGUAAUGCCCUUGCAAGACUCCUGUAUUCAGUGAGAUCAAGAAGAUACUCCCCACCAUCUUUAGACAGAAAUGAGGAGCUAACCAUAGGAGUAUGAACGCUCUUUGCAUUAGUCAUAUGACACCGGUCAAGUAAAUAACGAAUAUACUUUUGUUGGCAGAGAUGAAUACACCCAGUAGAGGAAUGAGUAACUUUAAUACCGAGGAAGUAAUGAAGAUCACUCAUAUAUUUUAGCGAAAACUCCUUAUGCAACUGUUUAACAAAACUAUCUAUAUAUGUAGGCAUGCUUCCAGUAAUAAUAAUAUCAUCGGCAUACACAAGAACGUAAAUAGUGAAGGUAGAUGUAGCUUGAAAAAAUAAUGAGGCAUCAGACUUUGAUAUAAGAAAACCAAGGGAAAGUAAAAAAUCCUUUAAUUUGGUGAACCAAGCACGUGGGGCCUGUCGGAGCCUAUAUAAUGCCUUCUUUAGACGACACACCAAAGGUUUCCCAUCAUAACUAAAUUGAACAUAUCCUAGAGGUUGCUGCAUAAACACUUCAUUAGUAAGAUACCCAUUUAAGAAAGUAUUAUUGACAUCUACCUGAUGAAUCGACCAACCUUUUAAAACAACAACUGAUAAUAUAACUCGAAUAGUAGCAGGUUUGACCACCAGACUAAACGUUUCCUUGAAAUCACAUCCAGGCACCUGGGAACAUCCUUUAGCUAUAAGCCGAGCUUUUUGACAAGCAAUCGUGUCAUCCAAAUUUUUUUUACUUUGAAUAGUCAUUUACACCUGAUCACCUUUCGACCACUUAGAAACGGAACAAGAUCUCAGGUGGAAUUAUUAAUAAGAGCAUCAUAUUCAGCUUGAGCACCAGCAUACCAUUCUGUGGUAGAAAACGCUUCUUCAAUUGGGUGAGGCUCAACAUCUUUAGCGAAAAGAGGCUCAGGUUUGAAUAUGUCAGCCUUAGACAUAGUAACCAUUGAAUGUAUAUUAGUUGGGGGUAACGGAGCGGUAGGAACAGAGGAAGGACAUAGGAGAUUUGUUGAUGAUGAAGGCAGAGGAGAAUUUAGGUUAGUAGAUAUAUCAUCACGAGCAGAACACAACGAAGGGACAGAGUUGAGGUUAUUCUGAAGAACACCAGAGGACAAAGGACUCGGAGAGAAUGAAGAUGAUACCUUAAGAGGUAGAACAACUGGCUCUGUGGGUCGAGAAGUGAAAGACCAAACAAGAGGAACAUAUGUUGGUGAAAAUGAUUGCUCAAACAAAGACGAGGAGUCGUCUAGACCAAACUCAGUAAACAGGAAUUGACGUUCAUCAAACACAGCAUGACGAGAGACAACGAUCUUACCAUCCGGUGUGAGACACUGAUAACCUUUAUGUUGAGAGCUAUAUCCCAAAAAUGUAUAUGGUUGAGAGCGAAAAUCCAACUUGUGAUGCAAGAAAGGACGCAAGUAUGGAAAACAACAGCAGCCAAACACCUGUAAAUGAACAUACGUUAGAUAUUUCCUAUGUAAAACCUUGUAUAGAGAUUGUCCCUUUAACACCAAAGUAGAAAGACGAUUAAUCAGAUGAACAACACAACUGAAUGUAUAACCCCAAUACUUCAUAAAAAUAUUUAAUUAAGCCAAGAGGGUAAGACCCAUUUCAACAAUAUGUCAGUGUUUACGCUCAGCCACCCCAUUUUUUUCAGACGUAUGAGGAUAAGAGAGUCUAUGAAUUAUCCCUUAACUUACCAAAACAGAAGUGAAAGCUCGAAACUCACCCCCCAAUCGCUCUGAAAUUGACGAAUAUUCUUACCAAACUGAGUUCUGACAAACUGUUGGAACUAAACAAAACAUUCCACUACCUGAGACCUUUGUUGAAUAAGAUACAUCCAGGUAAAACGUGUACACAUAUCAAUAAACGAUAUAAAAUACCAAUUUCGUUCACAGGCGAUAGAGGUAGGUCCUCAUAAAUCUGAGACUUAUAAGACUGGAAAUGACAACUUAUGAGACUUUCCUUUUUGACAUGCAACACAGAUAUUAUCAAGGCACAACUUCUUACAAUCAAUAUUAUAAUUAUUUAAAACAGAUUUAACAAUAGAAACAGACGAAUAACUAAGACGACUGUGCCACAGCGUAAAAAUAUCACAGUUAUCAGAUUGAUUUUGAAUUUCAACAUUGGCAAGAGUCGGACCCAUAACAGACGCAUCUGGCAGAGAAAAAUGAUAAAGCCCAUCACGAAUGUGGCCUUUCAACAAAACGGCUCGAGUCUGGAUGUCCUUAACAACACAAUAGGUUGGAUGAAAUUCAAAAAUCACAUUGUUGUCAGUUGUAAACUGAGACAGACAAAAGAUUUUUUCGUAUAGUUGGAACACAUAAAACAUUAGACAAAUGAAGUAAUUUAUGCCGUGUAGGAAUGACCGAAUUACCAACGGACGAAAUCCGAGUAGAAGUUCCAUCACCGAUUAAAGGGGAAGAUUUACCUGAGUAAGGAGUAAAAUCAUUCAACACAGAGUUAUCACGACAAACAUGAUGUGUGGCUCUCGAGUCUGGAUACCAGGACGUAGUACCCACAAGUAAGGGAAUAUAUGAGUCAGUACCAUCAAGAUUAGACCCAAACUGAGCAGCUUGAAUAUUAGACUCAGUAGAAUUGGACACAUCGGAUGUACAUAAAUCAAGAAUACGAGGAAGCCCAAUACACGGAUCGGUCCUAGUGUACACACGAGCCCAAGGUUUGGUUCAUCAAGGAACGGGGGGCCCAGAUUCAAGACAUACAUCAACACCAGACUGAUCAUUAUUAAACUACCCCGGAUUAUAACUUGGCCCAUGUGAAACUUGAUUGACUUGUGGCCCAAACGUAUGAGGGCGUACAUGAGGCCCAAAAGUAGCCGAUCUACCAUGACUAGAUAGAUGCCCAAAUUUAGCAUGCUGUCCAUGCCCAGUCGACUGCCAAGAAGGAGCAAUGUGUGGCCCAAAAAAAAUCUAUCCCAGGCGCAAAAGAAGAAGGAACACGCCCAGUCCAAUCAGGAGCACGCCCAGUCUAAUCAGCCAAACUAAAACCAUUCACACGUCCAAACCAAAAACCCUUCAGCAGAAUUGGAAACAAACUGAGAAACCCUAGAGGUCCAGUGCUGCUGCGGCACCCCAGUAAAAUUCACAGAAACACUACCAAAAGCAAACUCAUUCGGUGCUGAGAAGCCACAAGAAACACCAUCAGUCACACGCAACCAAGCCACGAAGGCCGAUCCGUCAAACUCACAAUUAAAGCAAUAGAAACAUCACUGAGCAAUGUGCCCAAAUCGUCUACAUAUUUGGCACUGAAUCCGUAAUCAAAAGCCUCUACCACGUCGGUUAGGCAAGUGACCACCACGAAUAGAUUCGACAACCAUCAGCGACGAUACAGACUCCGCAAUAUUCACAUAAAACGACACCUUUGGAACAACGAGGUGCUGAAAGGGCAACAGCUUAAAGGAGAACGAAGCUAACAUCAGUACUGCACCAAACUCUGGUGAGAGACCUGCCAAAAUAACUUCAACCUUUUCCGCCUCCGAGACACAAAAGCCCGAGACAUCAAGCAAAGCACACAGAUUUUAGACUUUUGCAACAUAUUCUGUAACCGAAAGAGUACAUUUCUUAAGCGAAUGCAUAUCAUGACAGAUACGAGAUACUUUCACUCCUGUGACCGCCGCAAACAACCGAGUGGCCAUGGUCCAUACAUCAGAUGUCUUUCGAGUGUUAGUGAAAGAAGGUAGUAAAGAGGGAUGAAUAGUGAAAAACAACGAUGAAUCUAGCAAACGAUCUUGUUGAUGAAAAGUCGAUGCACUAGGAUUCAAAACCAAAGAUCCAUCAUCUAAUGGCACAAAUCACGAUAGAGACUGUAAAGUCCCAUGUAAAAACCCUGUUAAUUCGUAGCCUUCAACAACUAACCUAACGUGUUGUUGCCACUAAACAAAAUUGCUAUUGUUUAGCUUAACGAAGUCAUGACGAGGGAAGGAAUGCAUAACCUGAUCACCAGUAAAUGUCAAGCAACCAGACUCAACCAAAAUAGAAUUAGCAGAUGUAGCCAUGAAGAAGAAAAAGAAAAGCAAGAAAAGGAAAAAAAACCAAAGCUCUAGGAACAAGAACAAGGCGAUUGAUACCAUGUAAAGAUAUCUUAUGAAUAAGGUAAGAUAACGGUUUAUUAUUCACAAAAAAAAACUCUCUCUUUUCUACUUACAAACUCAGUAUUUAAAGAAUAUACUACCUAGCUAUUAUUGAUAACUGCUGCUAAUGUUUAACAGACUGAGCUGAAUAAUAAACUAACUGCUUAGCUAACUCCUAACAGUAUUAGUUAAUAAUUUAUACUUUAACACAGGCUCACAUGCUUGUGUGGGUACCCGUAUGGCUCAACACGGUCUGGCACACGACCGUGUGGCUGCCUAUUUGCCCCUACUCACUAAGUAAGUGAGUUACAUGGUCUGGGCACAUGUCCAUGUGCUACCCGUGUACCUCACACGAUCUGGCACACGCCCAUGUCCCUUGCUCGUGUGUCCCUAAUACAUAAAUAAUGAGUCACACAGUCUGGACACAUGCUCCUGUACUAACCCGUGUGACACUACACCUUAAUAUCUCAUACAUGGUCUACCACAUACCUGUGUAGCUUGUCCGUAUAUAACAAAUCUGAAGUUAGUCAGUUACACGGUCCACUACAUGACUUUUCACACCGCCGCGUGGCACACCCGGCUUGCACACGCGCUCGUGUGUUGUUGACUGUCUCAUUCUGACAACAACAAAAAAAUACAAAAGAAUAAGGGUUUCGAUACCCUACUUGAAACAACGACGACCUAGAAACAAUUUCGAGACUCUCAAAGCCUAGAAACCAAAUCCAGUUACUCAAUUAAUAAAGAUUCAAAGAGAUACGCUAAAUCACAAUAACAAUCAACGUCGAAACCUUCAACACACAAACCCAAAACGAACAAAACUUGCUUACCAAAAGUUCAACAGUGCACACUCGAGUUCUAGAUGACAAGAGAAGCGUUAGGCGUCACUUGACCUUCCUCUAACCUUCCGUAACCACGAGCAAACAAAGCAAAACAAAACCAAUCAACACCCUCACUUUAGGAUUUCAAAGAAAUUCACAAUUCAUACCUAACAACCAGAAUUACUACGAUUUAAUCUUACCUUUAAGCACCGAACAACCAACAGUAUGACAUGAUUAACAAUUAAUCCAAGAGAAUGUUAUACGAAGAGGAAUUCAAGAAUGAUGCCAAAAACAAAAAAAUUAAAAAAACAAUGAGGAAAAAAGAAGUUAUACGUAUAAGGAAACUUAUUUAAAAUUCUAAGAUCGGUAUUUAUAGAGAAGUGCAAAAAUAAUAUUCCUUAAUGCACACGCAGAGAUUCGAACACAGGACCAAUGAAACAGAUAGAUGCUUAACCAUUGAAUCACUAGGCUCAUUAUUUAGACAUUAACACACAUAAUUUAACUUAUGUGACACAUUCAAGUCUAAAAUUCAAUCAAAGAAUACGUAAAACUUCAAAAGAUGAAACUCGAACAUCAGACCUUCAGUGAGCGACCAGGGCACAUUACCACAGAAACACCUAUAUUUUCAUUGACACAACCUAAUAAGAAAACUCACAUUUUUGGGGCGUUACUCUAGUUGAAUUAGUAUAAUGAAAAUAAUAUUUAUUUAAUAAAAAAGUAAUACCUUGUUGAAUUAGGAGAGAAGGGCGGCAACCCUAGUACCUCUCAUGCUUGUCAUGAGGGGUUUUGGGCUUCUCUUGUAUCAGGUCCAAUUAUAUGUGUUUCUUAGAUUUUUAACCCAGCAUUUUAUAAUUUAAUCCAACCCAAUACAUGUUUUUCUAUUUCCCAAAAUAAAUAUUAUUUAUUAAAUUAAUUUAAAAUAAUUAAUUUUCCAAUUAAAUAGUUUUCUUAACCAAAUUCUAAUUCCGUUAAAAUUAUGACAACUUUACUGUAAAAGAACCUAUGAGAAAUAUAUUUAAUUUCUAUAUUCAAUGGAUUCAAAAUGACCAAUUAAUUUUAUUUUUGAAUUUCAAUUAAUUCUCAAGUCAUUUCUAUACAUAAAUUAAUCAUGUCUCCAAAACUCUUAACAAGCUUGUGAAUACAAUUUUUGACAUCCUAAAAUUAAUCAUGCAACAUGAUUCAUGACCGUUAAAGAUCUCUCGGAUCCAUGCUUCACCUAAUUGUUUUGAAUCCAUGCAUGGUUGCUUCAAUAUAUACUUUUUAUAAUAUAAUUGCACAGAAGAAGACGCAACAUGAAAUAAUCGGUUAAAACUUUCCAUGCAUUGUAAAAUCUCUUUCUUUUCCCUUUCAUCAUCACUUUCAUCACCAUUAGAAUUGUCAACCAUACUCAGCACAUGUGAACAAAUUCUAUAUAAAAAAAAACAAGCAUAAACAACUAUUUAUAAAACUAGAUUACACAUAAAUAAAUAGUCAAACAAAGAUUACACAUGGAUGGCAUUUAUAAGUCAUAUAGUAGAUAUCUUAAUACCUAGAAGACUACAAAAUUUUGAGCUCUCCUUCAUUUCCAUCUUAAGCCACCAAGCUCUAAUAUUGGGAUUAGUUGAUAAAAACACAAUUCGCUUGUCCUUAUUGAUUAAUAAUUUCAUUGAGAAAAAGUAUAGCAGACUAGCUUCUGGAACUUCCUUCGACAAGCUAUCAAGCACUUUGAUUGCUUGUGGAAUACCAUAUGGAUCUAUAAUAGGGGUCAAACUAAAUGUGGCUUGACUCAUAUUGUUAGUUGCACUGCAUAAAUUUUAAAUUUGACUGGACAAUCUUGCAGUCCCUUUAAUUUUCUUUUAGGAUUUCUUCCUUCCAAUUUUCAAAUGUGAAGUUCAUGUCUCAAGUGUUUUUCUUUUUUUAUUGUUUCUAUCAAAGUCACAUCCCAUUUGACUUGAAAUGUGAACAUCAUUUAUCGCAUUUUCUUCCUCAUUCUUUUCAAGUAUUUCAUUGUCAACAUCCUCAAAAAAUUCACUAGGGAGUGUACUCGAAGAAAGUGCCCGUGCUUUAUCACCGGUGGCAACUAUCCCCAUGAACAUCUAGUUCAACUUCCUUUCGAAUUUAGGAUUAAUGCUUGAAGUUCUAAAUUUUUGAACUUCAGACACAACCUACAUAUAAAUUGAUAGUUCAAAAAUCAUUUGAUGCAUCAGUGGUUCCUUUUAUAGGAUUCCACCCUAGACCAGUAUCUUCACCUUUAAGCUUUUUCCAAGCCUUCCAUUCUUUUUUCAAGGCAUCCCACCUAUUUUUAAAUUGUCUUUUUGAAUAAGCGUUAUCUGUUUCAUUCUCGAAGAUAACCGUUAUUUUUAGCCAUCCCUCUUUUGUGAAAUGAGUACUAGGUCUAUUGUCUUUCAAUAUCUAUUUAAUAAAUAUAUCAGAAUAUUUCUGUUAAUCUCUUAUCUCACAUUGCUUUGACCUUUUCACCAUUAACUUCAACGACCGAAGUAUUUCAUCUAUUAUAUAAAUAUAUAUGAUCACAUAGAAAAUUGAAAAUCAAUAUUACAAAAAAUUAUUAAAAUAUAAAUAAAUAAUCUUUAAAUUUAGUUUGUAUAUAUCAAUUAUCCCCUGCAUACAACAAUACUAUUUACGUUUGUUCAUGAAUUUCACCAAAUUUUUUAGAUUAGUAUUUUACAAGUUAAACAUUAUGUAUAUGAACAUAUAUCUAAAAGCAUACAAGUGAGAGUUUAGCUGGGCUUAUGCUUUCGUUGGACGUGCUUCUUCAGCCAGUGAAGCAAACAAUUUGACAGGGAAUUAUUAAUAAACUAAUGUACAUUACACUAUUAAUGAACACAAAAGCAAAUUCUAUAUAGCUUGUCAAGAGUUAAGAACAACAAAGUGAAUAGAUGGAGACCAAACAAAACCCAUUUUUAGAUGGAGACCAAAGCCAUUUACCUCUCACAGAAAAAGUAAGAGAAAAAAAUAAAAAUAAAAAAGCAUACCUUGAAGGAACAAAUAUCAAAAGAUGUAUCUUUGAAAAAGAAGGGCAAGGUCCUCUUCCACUGCUACUUCACAAAUCAAACUUUUAUUCAAAGAAAAUGACAGAAGGAAAAGUAGUUCAAAAAACUCUGCAAAAGUUGAAGGACCAGAGAAAGAGAAAGUUGGGAAAGUAGUUUAAAGAGUUGCUGCAAAGUUGAGAGAACUAGAAAAAAAAGUUAUUUUGGUUGGUGUAUAGUAAUAAAAAAUACCAUCAGUGUGUUUAAAUAAGGGUGAAAAGUAAUUUGACACUCAAAAGUGAUUUUGCAACAAAAGCUCAAAUUUCAUGCUUCCGCGUUUGGCCAAUUUUUGGCAUUUGAAAAACACUUCUUUCUUUCAAAAGUGUCUUGUUUAGGAAUACUUUUAUCUCAAAAGAGCUUUUUGUCUCAAAAGUAGUCUUUGUCUCAAAAGUGCUUCUUAGAAGGAUUAUUAAACUAGCCAUUAAUACCUUUCUACUCUGUAUCUGAACUCAUAAAUUUAAAAUUUGAUUUCGUAAACUAAAAAAUUACUGUUUUAAUGAAAUUUAGUUUAUUUAAAAAAAUUAAUUUAUUUUAAAAUUUCAUUAAAAUUACACUUGAAUAAAAAAAUUAGUGAAGACUUUUUAUUUUAAAAAGUUAGUCAAACUAUUUUUAAGAAUUUUAAAAAUGGUCACAACAUGUAUAGUACAAAUCACAAAUAAUACAUAUUCAAAUAAUUAGAGUUAAAUUCGUCUCAAUACAAGAUAGAAGCCCAAAAUAUACUAAAAAAGAGCACAAACAUAAUAAAACUUAAAUCCAAAAUAAUAGUAAAAAAAACUACCCAUAAUAUUUGCAAAAUUAGAAAGCUAUACCUUUAUAUUAUAAAACAUUCACAAAAUAUUAUAUUUAGUAGUUUAAGAAAAUCAAAUCUCCAUAGAAAUACUCAAAAACUUUUAUACUUCAUAAUAUUUUGAAUAGCUAUGACUUUACUUGAAAGAUAAGAUCGCAUUCCAUAGUUGUUGUUUCAAGACUUUAGAUCAUGACUUCUCUAUUAAAAAUCCAACUGAAGGGAAGACUUGAAGCUUGCUUUGCUCUUAAUUGAAAUCUCUCUUCCAAUUUUCUAAUUUUUGGAGCAAGAUUACAUACAAAAUCCUGAGCUUUACGCCCAUCAGCUGAAAGUCCAGUUAAUUCCUUCACGUUCCAUCGAUCCACCAAGAACUCCACAAUAUCAGCAUAGUCGGAAGCAGUGUAAACCCCAAGUCUUUGUGCAACAGCCGAGAAGUGGUCGAAAAGGUUUUCGUCUUGCCCAUCGUACAUCAAGUAAGCGGGCAUCGUGAUUUUCUUCCUCAUCAUGUUGGCAAAGGCUCGAACGGUUUCGUCAGGAUCCACCUCAAACAGCUUGUCAGUGAGUUUGGUAUAGGCUGUCUCGUGCCGCUUUUCAUCCGCGGCAAUGAAACCACAUAUUUUAGCCAACUCAGUGUCCCCAUACUCCUUAGCGAGUUUUGCAGUGUUUCCAUGGGAAAUAAAAGUUGCCCUUUCUUGGAAUGAUGUGUAGAUCGCUCCCAGAUAUGGGUUGUUUUCGCUCUUCGAGUCCUACAAAUAUAAACUCAGAUUUAGCUCAAUUGGUUCUGAAUUAAAUAAUAAGAUAGUGGAGCAACUGGCAACCAUCUCACUUACCAUUCCUGAAGCAAUCAAAUACUGGAUUGUCUUCUCGAUUUGCCUCAUGUCGACUUUUCCCGACAAGUAGAGAUACUUAUUAAGUAGAUCGCCAUGCCUGUUUUCUUCAGCGGUCCAUGCCCUCGUCCAAAUGGCCCAAGGAGUAAGGCUAGCACCUGUUUCAUCACUAGUUCCAUCCAUGGUGUUAAGCAACGUCUGGUAAGUUGGAAGGGCUUCCUCUGUGAUCAUAUCACCAACCAAAACAACAAAGUAAUCAUCUGGGAUCUCCUUGGUUCUUUCCUGUAUCUCUUGGAUUUGAUCAUAGAACCCAUCAGACGUAGGAUCUGGAAGAAAAUCCUGGGGCUGCCAAUUGUUGUCCAUUGGUUUUAGGAGACUUAAAAGGUUUUCCUCUACCCAGUUCUCCAAAGAUUUAAACACCUCGAUCUUUUGCGGGGGCAUCGAAUGUGUGACUUGAACAUGCAUAUCUCGACGAGGCGUAUAUGUCUUUUUCAGAUUUUCACUUUCCCUGGAUUCAAAUAUAUAUCUUUUGAGUUACUUUUAUAUGUCUUCUACUCAAAUUUUGAUUCAUAGUUUCUUUUAGAGAACAAACAAAAGAAGAAUAGGAAUAAUUCGAACUAAAAUUAGCUCACUAAAUUAAAAUUUAGAUAUAGUAGCAACACAUAAUGAAAUUGAAGGCUCACAUAUGAUAAUUAUAUACGAUAAAUCUCGAACCUAAAUAUUUAAGUAUCUAAUAACUCAACAAUUAUUGAAAAUAAUAUUAUAAUUAAUAUGGUUUAUUCACGUUUUGCUUUGCGGUGAGUUGAUUAUUUAUUUGUGUUAAUUUAUAGAAUAAAAAAUUGAAAAUCAAAGUACACCCUAAGUCUUUAUAUACUUCAUACAUUUUAAAUUUAAUUCCUCUACUUUUUUGAUUUAAAAAUCCACUUUAAAAUUAUAUAUAACUAUUUAACAUUUUAAUCGAAAAAUUAAUGUUAUUAACUAUUUGAACUAAUUAAAAACUGUAUGACUCAUAGAGACCAAAUUAUGUUAGAAAUUAAACUAUAAGAAGUAUAUCUCAAAUUCAAAAACAAUAGAGGGACCAAAUGUGAAAUUGAACUAUUUUUCUAUAAUGUAAAGAAAAAGAAUAAAAACAUGGUACAUUCUUGUGUCGAUAAAAGAAGGUCGAAAGUGACAUUUUGAAAUUAAAAAAAUCACUUGAUAGUUAUAUAACAAUAAAAAUAACAUUGAAAAUACUAGUCAUGAUAAAAUAUUUUUCUAUUGAAAAUGGUGUUCUGACAUCAACAUUUUGAUUGAAAUAUUUAGCAAUAUUUAGCAAUAUUAACUAUUUAUACCUAUUAAUGAUAUUAUAAAAGUAGAGGGGCCAAUUUAUGUAAAAAAAAAACUAAAGUAUAUAAAUUAAAUCUCAAGUUUCAGCAUAACCUAGAUGCAAAAUUUUAGUUUGAUUAAUGAGAAACUAUAUGUCAGUUUCUAAGAUUUUUAGGGCAUUCAAAUUAUAUAUAACAUUACAAUAUUUUAAUAAAAAAGCUAAUAGUAAUAACUAUUUAAACCAAUUAAUAAAUUUAUAAAAAUAUAGGGAUAAAAUAAUGUUAUAAAUUAAAGCGUAGAGAUUAAAUCGGAAAGAUUAAAAGAGGUGAAAAAUUAAAUGGAAAACUAAGAUGACUUUCUUUUUUAUAAAAUUGGAGGGUCAAAUAAAUUAUUACGUCUUCUUUUAAUAUCUAAUUUGAGUAACUUACCAGCCUAAUCAAGAAUAUUUUUAAUAUUAAUAACUAUUUUGAGUAACUUACCAAUAACUGCGAUUAUUUUUUUUUAUGGUUUCUUUAAUUCAAUUUUUCGAAUUAAUAGCUUAAUCAAUUCAACCACCGGUCUAAAUUUAUCAACUUUGUUUAAAGUAUAUUUUAAUCUUUAUAAUUUGAUGCAAAUAAAUGUUGAAUCCAAUACCAACUGUGAGUGAACUGCAUAUAUUUUUUUACUAGAAACACAUUUUUCAACAUAUUUCUCUCUAUCUCUCUCUAUAUAUUAAUAUGAAGUAGAAAGAAAAUGAUGAAAAAGGAAGAAAGAUAAAGGAGAUGAAGGGGAUAUUGAAAAAGGAAGAAGCAGCACUAACUUGGAGGCAGAAGGGAGAGUGGAGGCCAUGAAAAACUUGGGAGAUGAGAAGGUAGCCGUUGCCGGAAGACCAAAACAUGGGAGUUGAUUCAAUUUCAACGCCAUUCUUUCUUUAUUUUCUUUCAAUUUCAGUUUGGGUCUGCCUUUCAAUUUUCUCUACAACCGGGAAAUCUUGUUUGGACUAACCCAAUUAAAACUCCUACCUUUUAUCACAUUACCCCUAAUUUUGGUUUUAAUUACCAAUUCAAAUCUUCUGUCUUUCUUCUUCUUUUUACUCAACAAUUUUACAAUUCUAAUAAUAAUAAAAGUAUUAUUAAUUAGAUAUUAUUUAAUAUAAUAGUAUAUCAAUGUGAAAUUAAUUAAUUUUGUCAUAUUUUUUUAAAAUUUCUACUUAAAAAAUAACAUACUAUAUUAUUAAUUAACAAAAUUGUAAAACUAUAAAAUAAAUCAUGAAAUAUAAUUGGAUAAAUUAAAAUGAUACAAUUCAAAGUUCUUUAAUUAAAUAAAUAUAAUUUUAUUUUAAAUAUGAAUAGUAAUUAAUAAUAUUAAAAUCAAUCUUUUACAAUUAAUAAAAAUUAAUUGCAUCAAAAUAAAAUUAUAUAUAAAAAGAUAAUAGCAGUAUAUUGUAAUCUAAACUAUAAUGUAAAAAUUUAUUUAUUUAUUUAUAAUGUUUUCAUUAUCAAUGUAAUAGUAAUUAUCACUUAAUUUGUAACCUCCCCAACCCGGCCUAGAUGUUAAGCCCGGUUUCGGAAGAUUACAUUAGUCAUCGAAAUGGUCCAAUAAGCUAUUGAAGUUUUUAAAACGGUCAUAUUAAAACAUUUGUUUAUUUUAGAAUAAAAUUUAGUCUAGUUUAGAAAAAAAACAACUCAUGAGUUAACAAAAACCGAUUUUUCUUGUAACGGUGUUCUACAUUUUGAAAAGUUAGUUAUUUUCUAAUUUAUUUAUUAUCCAAGAUUUAAUUAUUAUCUAGCACCGGAAAAAUCAUAAUUCACUUCAUUUAAAUAAAAAUUAUAUUUCACGCAAAAAUAAUUAAAAUCCAUAUUUCGAUAUCCUAAGAUCAAAUUAAAAGUCAAGUAGGCUAUAAAAAAACAAAUCACAAAUCUCAUGUCAUAGUUCUAAAAUAAAACGGUAUAGUUUCUGAAAUGUAAAAAUAUCGAAUAAUAAAUCUAAAAUAUUUUAAUAAAUUAAAAUCAAGCUGAGACCCUCUGGAUGUUGUAUCCGCAUUCUAACCUAGUGGGUUAUCUGUAAAGAUGGAAAUAAAAGGGGAGUGAGCUAUGAAGCUCAGUGUGAGUUCCAUCACAAAAAAAUCAGUGCAACCAAUUAGCAUGCAAAAUCACAUCACAUAGAAUAAUCCACAAUAGUAGUUUCAGAAUAUCGAUAUAUCAGAUCAACUCAACAAUGUAUAUGUAUAUGUAUCAUCUUAGAAAUCUCAUAAUUGUAUGCACAUUCUUUAUGAAUGCAAUACAGAUUUCGGUUUAACAGAAAAGAUCUUACCCCUUCGUUACACACCAUAGUAAGAGUUCCUAAGAACUCGUUCAUCCCUACACACCGGGUUAUGGAUAAACCACAAAAGUUACAGGUUCAUACACUGGUAAAUGGUUGUGAGUACACAACGUAAUUGCAGAUGAGAGCAGCCAGAAUGUGGGUGGAUGAACCACCAAUGUUGCAGGUUAAUAUGUUGUUAGAUGGUUGUGGAUACACAACAUAAUUGUAGAUAAGAGUUGCCAAAAAAUGGGUGGAUGAACCACCAAUGUUGUAGGUUAAUAUGCUGUCAGAUGGUUGUGAAUGCACAACAUAUUUGCAUAUAAAAGUUACCAGAUAAUCUAUGGAUGAACCACCAGAGUUGCAGAUUAUUAAUCUGUCAGAACUUCCUCCUUUUAAAGCGUCUCGCCCCAUAAAAUGCAAUAUGUAUGCUUAUGACAGAUCAAAACGGUAACGAAUAGUAUGCUUAUAUAGAUCAAUAUGACAAAUAUAGAUAUGCUUUUAACUAAUAAAUACAGUAGCAAAAUAUAUGCUUUUCAUGGAUACGAAUUAACAGUAUCGUGAGGUAUGUUGAAAGUACAAUAAAAAAUACAGAUGCAACAAACAUAUAUUAUUCACAUAUCAUCCAUAUAUAUAAUAAUUCAAUCAAUUAGAUCAUGGAUUCUAACAUUAUUCACCUUGUCAAGGACUCAAUUGAAUAAAAUAAAACACUAAAAAUAGUUUCGGGAAUGUUUAAGGACUAAACUACAAAUAACAUAAAUUUCUGGGUAAAACUGUAAAAUAGAGGUCACAUAACCGUGUCGCCAGGCUGUGUGGAAGGGUAUUGUCGUGUGGGGGGUCGUGUGGUCCACACACCUGUGUGGGAGAUCGUGUGGUCCUAUUCCUAAACUCGUUUUGCUCCAAUUUACUUGUAAAAGAACACACAGCUUUCAUCGAAAGUCCAAAUGACGUCUCUUGCGGUCAAAUCUAAUCUGACACACCUAAAAUAGGUCAUUUAAACGACAUUUAUACACGAGUUAACAAUUGAUUUCAAGAUUUGUCAAGAUUGUCGAAAGAUUCCGCAAGAACCGAAAAAGAUUAAGUAAUUGAAUUGAAAGAUUAAAGUUAGAUAGAAAUUCUACGAAAAUUUGAGAUAUAAACAUCAGAAACGAGAUGUACUUAUCGAUUCUUGGUAAAUAUAAUGAAUUUUUAUUGAUGACAAAUCUAAACUCUGAUAGAAAACGAUUGAACAGGGAAUGAUUUGAUUCGGGGUAUCAAAGUGAUCAUUAACAUUUAGGAUGAAAAUAUGGUGUAAACAAAAUGGAAGAAAAUAAAAAGAGAAUAAAUAGAAAGAUAGAAAGCAAAUUCUAUUAGGAUUUGAAAAGAAGUAAUAUGAAAAUCUAAUUAUGAAAAGAAGAUAAAAAGAUGGUGGAAUUUUAGUUCUAUUGGAAUUUUGAAGAAGGAGCAAAUUGUGAAUUCUAUUGCUUUAACCAUUGGGCUAUCCUCUAUUUCUUAUUUAUUUUAGGCUUAAUCAUAUUGAUAUGUUUUUGGGCCAUUUUUGGUGAAAUCUCAAAAUUAAAAGGGAGUGAGAGACUUGAACCUAUGACCUCCAAAAAUGAUUUUAGCAUGCUAACCAUUUGAUCUAAGCCUAUUUCUUAUUUAAUUUUUACCCUUAACAAUAUUUAUUUUAGUGUGGUUUUUAUCUUAAGUUGAAAAUUAAAAGGAAAAGAAAUGGAAAGAGUAGGGGUUUGAGCCUAAGCUCUCAAAAGAGGAAAGCUAACAUUUAACCAUUAAGCCUAAAACCUACUCCUUACUUAAUCUUAUUUCUUAACUAUAUAUAUUUAUUUUAGACUCAACUUACAUAUUUUUUAUUAGCUUACACAUUUAGUCAAUUUUUUUAUUAACUUAUAGUUCUUAGCACAUUCUAUUUUAGUUUAUAACAAUUAAUACUCAUAGUCAAGUCUCAAUAUUAAUAUUUUAAUUCAUUUCACCUUUAGUAAACUCUAAUAAAAUGACUUAGAUACACGAAAACCAUCAAGCCUAAUAUUCAUUUCUUAUUUAACAUACGACAUAAGUAACAUAAAUUCCACAAUUAAAUCAUAUGUACAGUAAUAAACAAUUUAAUAAGGGAAAUAAUUGAAAAAAAAUUCUAGAACUGAUAAGUAAAACUCAUUUAAUUUUUAAAGCAAAGUCUAAGGACUAAAUCAUAAAUUUAGUAAAAUAUUUUAGUUAAACUUUUUUGUAAAAUCAAGAGUAAAUUUAUGGAAUUAUCCAAAUAAGAUUUAAUCAUGAAAAUUUUCAAGCCAUUUUAUAAUAUUUAGGGACUUCAAUUGCUUAGCAUAAAAAUCAGGGCCUACUUGCAAAGAUAACAAAACAUGCCCAACCUACAUACGACAUAUUGACACCUGUACAUACCAUUUUGUGUUUUCAUGCCAAUUUUUCCUAUUCUAACAUAUUGUAUAUCAUACAUAGAUCAUACAAAAUCAUGCGUAUUUACGCUUAAAUCUAAUCAAUCAAUAAAUCAUAAACCCAAUUCUUCUAAUCCCAUUUUUGUGACAUAAUUAGUGUUACAAUUACAUACCAAUUAAAACUAAUAUUUAACACUAAAUAUAUGCAUUAGCAAAACAUUUUAAUUUAAAAUAACAUCUAAAAAAUUACUAAAAGAAUCAUAUUUUAACAUUAUUUAAUAGGUUUUGUUUCCUAAAAAAAAGAUACAAUUUUCAUUAUUAUUUGAGAUGUAUACUUUUUAUUAUUUGAUAUUCAAUAGUUUUAUUAUUAUUAUUUGAUUUUAAUAGCAUUUACAUAAUUGUGAAUGUUUGUGAGAUAUUAUGUGAAAGGAAAUGAAGUAUUAAAGUAAUAGUUCUUUGUAGAUGAAAUUUGAACUCAUAUUCGAAUAACAAGUUAUUUAAUUUAAUUACUUAAUAUUUUACCAUUGGAUGUUUUCUACUCUUUUUUUUUAAUAUUUUCUUUACUUUUAAGAUGUUAUUUUAUUCUUUCAAUUAUUUUUUCAAAAUUAAUCAACUUUUAUUAUAAGUUAGACCAAUUCUCAUUUAAUUAGUAAAUAUUUUUUUCAAAAAUUAUAAAAAUGUAUUAUUUAAUAAAAUUUAAAAAAUAAACAUGUAAAAUCACAUGCAAUACAUGUAAAAUGGGAACUAGCAUCUAUCUAUAUAUAUAUACAUGUAUAUAUAUAUAGGCAUCCAAUUAUACCUGUGUAAAGCUUAAGUAGUUUUACACCCUUUCAUAACUUCUUAUACGAUUAAUAUUUUAACAACUCGACUGUUGAAUUAAUUAAGAUAUUUGUACUUGUUGUGCAUGUAAAAUUUUUAAUUAAUCUGAUAUCUCUAUCAUAUUGAUUUAAAAUAGGCUUACCAUUUCCCCUGUAUCAUAGUGAAAUUCUCACUUUAGCCAUUUUACUAUUUUUUGGUUAGUUUGCCCCUCUAUUUUAAUUUUGUCACUCAACUUAACCCUUUUAAAAGUUUCACUGAAAAAUAAACCAACCAAUAACAUGCUACCAUGUAUAAAAAAUUAAAAAAUUUACUUGUAAAUUAGAAAUCAUUAAAAAUCCAAAAAAUUUAUCAUAAAAGUAUUUUUUUUUUAAAUUAUAAUUAUGCGAAACGUCCAAAAUUUUCAUAAAAUUAAACAAAAUUGCAUUUUUUUGAAUUUUAAGUUUUCAGAAAUUUUUAGAAUUUUAUUAAAAUUUUAAAUGAUUUUGUGGUAUAGUUUUGGGAAAUUUUAUGGUUUUUUAUUGCAUUUUUUUAUAUUUUUAAAGAAAUUUGAAUUUUUAAGUAAAAGUAUCAUAAAAUUUUCUAAAAAUCAUAAAAUUCCAAAUAAAUACUUUUUAAAUUUUAUGAAUUUUAAAAUUUUUUUGGAAGUCUUGCAUAUAAGUUAAAAUUUUUUGUAAUAAUUUUGAAAAAUAGAUUAAGUUUUUAUUUUUUUAAUAAUAUUAUCUAUAUUAUUAUAUAUUUAAUGGUUGGAAGUUUUAUUGAUAUAAAACGAAUAGUUAUAAAUUUUUAAUUUACAACAAAUUAGACAUGUUUGAUCUAUGUGAAUGGAACAUGAAAUAUGACAAUUAGAUUGUUCAAUUAUUAAUCGUAUAAAUUUUUUUGAAAAGAUAUAAAAUCACUUAAAUUUUAUACUGAUAUAAUUGAAUCAUUCCCGGUAUAUAUAUUGUGAUAAGCAUUAAAGUGAAACCCAAAAACUCCAAAAAGCAUCGGAAUAAGCAACAUUGCCUCUAUAAAAUCAGCAAGUUAUGCAAAUACGUAAAUAUUCUGAACACGAACACAAUUUGUAUGAAAUUGUGUUAACGUGAAAGGUGAGGAAGUGUAGUGAGCAUGAAAGAAGCAUGAUGGAUGGGCUGCUUUGAUGGGGGUGAAACACAUUUUGUUUGCACAAUUUAAGGAUAUUUAACUGUCUUUAUAUAUACAUAUACCCACUUUAGUUUUUUUUAUCCCUACAUAUAUUUUAUAAAAUUGUUCAUAAUUAAAAAUAUUUAAUAGAUUUUAUUAAAAAUAAAAUUAUCUUAUCAAACAGUUCUAGAAUUAUAAUUUUUUUAAUGUUUCUAUCAUUUUAAUUAUUUUUGAACAAAUAUAAGUAAAAUAGAUUUUAUUUUUAAAAAAAUUGUAAAAUAUUGAUAAAUAUGGGAUUGUAACAUCCCAAAAAAAUUAGGGGGUUAGAAUUCUUAAGAAUUAAAACAUAGCAUUGUUGGUUAGAAGCCUAGUAGAAAGUUUUGAGAACUUAGAUUCAAGUCUUACAAACUUGAUUUUAUUUUUUAAAUUUUUCUGCACAUUUAGAACCUAAAUAAUAUAGUUUAUGUAUUUAUUUGUGUGUUUUGAGAAUAAAUGUGGGCACUAGCCCAAUGGUUAAGGUUUUCCUAAUUUUCCUCUCACUACAAAAGUUCUAUACACAUUAGUUUAUCUUAUUUUUGAAAAUUUUUAGACAAAUGAGCUAUUUAUUGAUGGAUAUAUUCGUGAAGAUCGUUAUUAUGCAAUGAAAUAGAAUGUUGAAAGUAUUAAUGAUUCAAUGAAUGAAUGCAUUAAAAAAUGAUUGCAUUGCAUAUGCAUGGGGGGACGAUAUGAAAGGAGGAAGAAUGAUAGCUCGGAUUGAUUGCAUGAACGAAUGAUUAACCGUGUACCCAAAGAACGACAAAUUCCAACUGCAAUCCCACUGUGCUACACGAUCUCUCUAACAACUAUUAUCUGCGAGCAGUUGUGACUUCGCAGUUAAACGAAUGUUCGUUGUGUACUUAUAGCCUCAGCAAAUUCCAACUACAAUGGUCUUACUGUGUACCAACAAAACGGCAGAUUCCAACUGCAAUACUAUUGUUGUGUGCACGAGAUAUGUGAGAUAAUAUUUUUAUUUCUAACAUUUAGGGUACAUGGCAUUAAUUAUUAUGAAAAGGCAUAUAAGUAGAUGGAUGGAUAUUUAAUUUACAUUGUUGUUAAGGAUUUAAAAUGAUAUUAUUACUAUGUAAUAAAAACGAGUUAAUUUAUUUUAAAAAAGAUUAUUGAUUUAUCUCCUACUGCUAUAUUGGUGUUAGUUUUAAAGUGAUCAGAAUGAGGUAUUUUCUUGUAUAAAACAAGUUUAAAAUGGAAAAAAAUUGUUUUUGUUAAAAACCGAGCCAUGUCUGUGGUGACUGUGAUCUCUUCGGCUGGGGUCUACCGUCCAGGCCGGGUCGGGGAGGUUACAUUUAGUGCUCCCCUCCUUAAAUAUGGGAUAUAUCCCAAAACUAUACAUUAACUAUGGUUUAAUGUGUAAUUGUACACAUGAACUUUGGUUUUGUGCAAUUUUAUACAUGAAAUUUGGAUUUGAUCAAAUUCUUGUAAAUUAUUAACACAAUUAUUGAUAUAACAUCAUUUUAUGUUUAUAUAUUGCAUACAUGAAUAAUUAUAUUUAUCCAAUAUUAAAAUAAAUUGGUGUAUUUGUUUCUUUAAAUGUGCAUGAUUAAAUUAAAAUUAAAAUUUCAAGUAUACAUUUAAAUCAAAAUUAGAGUUUUACGUAUAUAAUUUUACCAAAUUAAAGUUCAUGUAUACAAUUGCACAUUAAAUCAAAGUUCGUAUAUAAUUUUGAGAUUUAUCCCUUUUAAUAUUAAAAGUAUUUUUAAAUAAUUUUUAAAUAUUUUUUCAAUUUCAAUAUUAUCAUAUAAAUAAAAUUCAUUGAAAAAUUAUAUCAAAUCAAUAAUGAAAUUAAAAAUGUUGGUCAAUAAUGAUUCGGUCCACAUUUUAUUUUAAUAUGAUUAAGAAUGAUGUGUCAAUUGUUUAACAGUCACAUAGAAUUGUUUCCAAAUUUGCUUGUGUAUCUUACCCGUUCAAUGCUUGGGUUCAUUUUAUUUAAUAAUUAAAUUUCAUUAAAUUAGUUUGCACAGAGUUUUUUUUUAGAAUUUUUUAGAUUUUACAAAUAAAUCAAACAUAUUUUAGAGACUAAAUUAAAAAGAAAUUAAAUGUCACGGGACUUAUUUUGAUAAUAUAAUUUGAAAAAAUAAAAAAUAAAAAACAAAACAAAAAGUAAAAGUUUAAGCAAUAGAUUAUUACAUUUAGUGUCAUCCUAAAUCAAGGCAUAACAGGCACCGCACACUCAUAAAAUAUAAUCUCACGAAUAUGCAAUGCUAUCAUUAAUUAAUUAAAAUUUUAAGCAAAAUAAAAUAUUAAAUAUAAAAAUCAUAGUUUCAUAAUUUCAUAAAAAUUUUAUAAAUUCACUUUAAAAAUAACUUUAAAAAAUGUGUGAUAGCCCAAUUUUGCCAAGGCCCAAUUACAAGCAAAUAAAAGACCCAAGCAGAAAUCAGAUAAAAAUAAAUAAAAGCAAAAAAUAAAUAAUAAAGUCCAAUAAAAAAAAGGAGAGUCCAUUUACAACAAAUGUGGCCCAAAUGAAUUAACCCUAAAGCCCACGACACUAAAAACUCAACAGGAACCCUAAUGCCCUUGCGCCGCUCCUCCCUUCACAGGCACGCCGCUUGAGGCUUCUCGUCCUGAGGUCUGACUCCCCUGCCGCUAUUGCACCAAAACGGCAAAGGCAGCCUUUCUCUCCCCUCCGUUGACCGCACAUCGGUACCUACAAAAAGAACGAAAAAAGGACAACAACAACAAAGAAAUAGCACAGCAGAAACAGUAGAAACAUUGAAAAAUAUAUGGAAAAAAAAUCAAAGAUCUAAUGUAUUAUUCGGCUAUAAAAGCUAGACCUAAUGUAUUCUUUUUUUACACGAGCACAAAGUAAUCAAAAAACAGAAUACAAAAUUUCGAAGUUGAUUUUUCUUUUAUUUAUUUUUUGAAUAUUUUUUAUAUAAAUAAAACAUAAAAUAAAAAGAAAAGGUUGGAAAACAUACCUAACGAUUCUUGUUUUGCCACCGUGGGUGGCCGAGGUCAUCAUCUUCGAUGAAAGAUGAUCCUUUUUCCGAAGAAAAGGCCUCCGAAACGCAGAAAAACCAAAAGGUUUUUGGUUUUUUUUUGGUAUUUUGGGGGGCUUUUUGGAGUUUUUGGACUCGGAUCGGGGCUGAGAGAAAUAAAGCGGCCAAAAUAGCCUUUUUUCGCAAAAUCUGAUUUCAAAAUAAAGUCAAUUUCAAAAACAGGUUUCGACAGCUUGGCGACUCUACCGGGGACAAAAUAAGAGAGUCAAACCACAAGUUGAUUAAUUUUUGGUCUUUUUGUCGAAAGUUGAUAAUUUGGUUUAAAUUAAUGAUCCCUUUAUUGCGUUUCAUCCUUCCUGCUUUAUCUUUGGUAUCUCGGGCUAUAUAGCGAUCUAGUAUAUAUGUUUUGUUGGUUCGAAAGUUUCUUUUUGUGUAUUUUCUGCAUAUUGCAUUGCACAAUCGUUUGAUUUUUCCCUUCUUAAGUGGGAGUGAGAAGCUAUUCCUUCUUAAGGUUUUCACCUCCGUAUAGGAUAGUUGAUCGCUUUCGAGAUACAUCUGUACCUAUGUCUUGGUGAGAUCUUCAUCUCUGUAUUGCCAUAGGGAAAUUCAUUCCCCUGAAGCGAACUCAGUCCGUAUGAGCCUAUAAUGGGUGAGGAUCGAGGAAUCUGUUGGUUCAGGUACCUUUACUUUAGAACCAAAUAGCAUAUAAUGAGCCCGAAGAACCUACCCUAGAUAGAACCAUAUCUAACCUCUAGUGGUCAUCCGAAUAGGUGUUUUAUUUAUUAUUUCUUGCUUUGAAUUCUAGCUUUGUUUGAAAUGUACUGACUUGUUUCGUUUUGUUUUCAGCUAUGAUUGUAUUGCAUUUUCAUCAUAGAAAAGGGUGUUGAUUCACAUUCAGUUACUAAAUAGAGAGCUUGUCAUGGAAAAGGGAUUUCUUGAUAAAGUGGAAGACAAUGCGGCCAUCCGGAUAUUGUCCGAGAAAACACGCUAAGAGAAGGGUGACAGCCUAACAGAGGGAUAUAUGUUAAAAUUUUGGGAUUUUGCUCGUAUCAAUGUGACUCAGAAUAACCUUCAAGAGUUAAAAAAAAUAUGGGACCAAUGGAAUGACGAAACCAAGUAUUUAUUCUACCGAGACUAUGGUGAUUUUCCUUAUAUACUCGAUGUCAAAGUGGAUAAACACUUAUUUCAAGCUCUUGCCUAGUAUUGGAAUCCCGCAUAUAGCUAAUUCACUUUUGGGAAGGUAGACUUGGUGCUCACCAUAGAAGAGUACACAACUCUAUUUCGUUGUCCGAGGAUUCAAGCCUACAAAGCUUAUUCUAGAGCCGCCAAUGUUCGAACUUUCUUAAAGAAGCUAAUGAGCAUAAUUGGGAUAAGCGAGCAAUGGGUCGCGGCCCGGAUUAAACAAAAGGGAGAUAGUAAAUGCAUCCUUAGGAAAAUUCGACGUCUUCGCCUUGAGUAUUUACGGGUGGUCAUCUUUUCCAAAGCACUAGGGCAUAUAAAUGAUGCAGUUUCAGAUCUAUUUGACUGACUUGACAAAAGGGUCACGCCCGUCCUUGUAAUUUUGGCUGAAACUUUUAAAUCUUUGAGUGCAUGCCGGAGAACGGGUGAAAGAAGGUUUAUCAGGUGUGCGAAACUCUUGUUAGCAUAGUUCCAUAGCCACUUUUUAAAGGUAGAAAAAGUCUCUUAUCGAGUAUUCUCCGAGAACUACUCUCCGUUGAAAGAAUUCAUGGUUACGCCAAAGCGAGACAACAUUUUUGAAAAAAAUGGAUGGCAAUUCUCUAGAGUCUCCAAGACGAAGAAGUCAAAUGGAGGGCCCCUUGGAUAAUACCCGAUGAGAUUUUGUACCGAUGUGGAGACUUUGAUUGAGUCCCUCUACUUGGGAUAUAGAGAGCUAUUGGAUAUGCUUCUCUUCUUGUAUUAAGGCAAUAUAGGUCGUGGCAGUUUAUACUGACAACGCAAGGGUUGUCUCAGUGUGAGUUUGCGUACAGGGGUGAUAAUUACAAGAAAAAGGUUCGUGAAAUAUCGAAUGCUUGGAACCAAACCCAUAGAAUGAAAAGAUUUGCUGCAAAUCCCAUGACGACCCCCGAAUAUGAUUGGUGGUUUUUUAAAUGAGUCAAUGACAACGUCCCUAUGUCAAGUCAAGAAAACACUCGACCGAUAGAAGAGACUUGCAAGUGAUCCCGUCUGAGUUGGAAAUCAUAGAGUAAGACUUUGAAAAGAGAAGUUCAAAGCUGAGGAAAAAGAUAGAACAAUUGGAAGAGGAAAAGAUGUAGCUAGGAUUAGACGUCAAUGUCUAGAAGUUAUAAGCCGAGAAAAUGAGAAAAGGAAAGAACAAGGCUGAAGGAGACUUGGACAGUCUAAAAAUAGAUUAUAAGAAGAUACGUUUGUUGAUAAUGACUACCGAGUUGGGUAAAACAUUAGAACAAUAGCUGUAAGAAAUCAAAGAUGAAAAGAUUAGAGCUGAUGAGUGGGAAAAAAAUCUAAGAUGCUCGAGUUCGAGAAGAUGCUCUAGAAAGGUAUUUCUUAGAAAGUCAAAAUGAAAAGGUUGGAUUAAGAACCCAGGUAGCAAAAUUAGAAAGGUCACUACAUCAACAUCGUAGUCGCAACUUUGCAAUUGAGUUGAAAGCAAGCCUAAAUAAAAUCGAAGAGUUGGAGGUAAAGAUAGAAGAACUUAAGACCGCACUGCAAAAUUGUAAACUUCGUGUUGAGCUUCUUGAAAUGAACAAUGAACAAUGAACACUGGAAAGAGCAACUCCAACGCUCUCAAGGUUAGAUUAGGGAUAGAGAUCACAUCAUAGACGAAGCUGUGACUCAAGUACGAGAAGUAGCCGACCAUUUACAAAUCCUAGCAGUUCAAGCCGACAUGCUGAGCUUAAAAUAUGAAUAUGAAUCAGAUCGGGGCCGAGAAUUAGCUUGGCUUCUUAGGAAAGUUAAGGCUUUGAGUAUUAGGGCAAUGUCAUAUAUGUAAAAUAUAUCCGUUUUGUGUAAAGAGAUUUGUUUUCUAGUAAAGUUGUUCUAAUAGAAUUUAAUCAGAAUCAAUGUUUUUUUUUUGCAUUCAUUUCAUUCAUCAGCAUUACAUUUCAUUUCAUCAUAUGCAUUAAAUUCCAAAAAAGACUUUAAUUAAUCGAAAUGAUGACAAUUACCCUAGAAACCAACAAGAAUCUACCAAUUGAAUAUCGUUACGGUGGCCGUGGCAAAACUAAAGCAGUUGAUCAAAGAUAAGAGAGAUUAGAACAAAUUCAGAAGAAAAUGCAAGAUCUGUUGCAAGCGCAGCUACAAGAACAAUUAGCUAAAGUAUAGUAAGACAUGAGAGAUCAAAUACAAGAGUCCCAACGGAGCAUGAUAAGUCAGUUAACCUAAUUGCUGGCCGGGGGAAUUAAAAAAGAGAAAAGUACUGUGAUUAACUAUGGAGAUGGUAAUGAAGACCCUACAUACCCCUAAAAUUUACCGCGGUGAAUAUCCAAGCCCAACCAGCUACAUAUCCACGAAGGGUACCCGUUGCCAUAAGACUUCAACAAUAUCAAGCUGGUACCUCAGCACCGGUGAAUUACCUAACAGGUUUAAGUUCUAAUCCCGGGGAUAAUCUGACCAACCCCGUUGUUCCAGAAUUAGACGACAUGGCAGAAAUGGAUAGAGCAAGAGAAGAAUUGUUCAAACAGCUGGAAGAUCGAUGCAAGUGGUUGGAGGAGAAAUCUAAAGCUAUGGAGAAUGAUGACUACCUUUGCAGGGUUGAUGCUAAGGAGUUGAGCUUAGCCCCAGAUCUAGUGCUCCCACCAAAAUUCAAAACUCUAGAAUUUGAAAAAUAUAAUGGGACUAGUUGUCCUCAAGCCCAUAUCACAAUAUUCUACCGAAGAUUGACGGGAUAUGUCAAUAACGACCAAUUGUUAAUCCACUACUUCCAGAAUAGUUUGGUCGGGUUGGCUGCCAAGUGGUACAACUAGCUAAGCCGUGCUAAAAUCAACUCAUGAAAAGACUUGGCACAGGCUUUCAUGAAACAAUACAGCCAUGUCACCAACAUGACACCCGACAGAAUUACACUGCAAAACAUAGAAAAGAAGUAAAGUGAAAGCUUUAGGCAAUACACUCAGAGAUGGAGGAAGGUAGCAAUGCAAGUUCAACCACCUCUUCUGGAGAAGGAAACAACAAUGCUUUUCAUAAACGAAGGAAACAACAAUACUUUUCAUAAACUCUCUACAAGCCUUGUUCAUUAACCAUAUGUUUGGAAGUGCUACCAAGAGCUUCUCAGAUAUAGUAAUGUCUAGAGAGAUGAUUGAAAAUGCAGUAAAGAGUGGGAAAAUAGACGCUGAGGAAAACGCUAAAAGAUCAGCCCAGAGAAAGAAGGAAAAUGAAGUGUACACCGUGAGUGUGUAUAAUAAAGGUUAUUCAAAACAGGUCACUAUAAGCCAACCAAGGACCGUAACAACUAGCCAUCAAGUCCCCUUAAGAAAAGUUCUAACUCAAGGCCAAACACGAAAAAAACUCCAAUUCACACCCAUCUCGAUGACAUAUAUGGAGUUAUAUAAAAAUUUGUUCGAUGCGCAUGUGGUAUCCCCGUUUUACUUAAAACCUAUGCAACCUCUGUUCCCAAAAUGGUAUGAUGUGAAUGCUCAAUGCAAGUACUACGUAGGAAUAACAUGACACUCAAUUGAGAAUUGCACGACAUUCAAAAGGUUGAUUGAAAGGUUCAUCAAGAUGGGGAUUGUAUGGUUUGAUGAUCCAUCGAGACCUAAUGUGGCAGGAAAUUCAUUACCCAGUCAUUCAAACCAAGGGUUAAACACGAUAACUUAGAGUGGAGGAAAGAUGAUCGAAAUUGAUGCUACGGAGGUGAAAUUCUCGCUAAAAUGGGUCUGGAAAAAAAUGAUAGACGGAGGAUUAAUCAUGCAAAAUUCGGAGGAGGUAUCUAAAGGGAUGAGGAACUAUUGUGAGUUCCACGUUGAAAAAGGUCAUGAGAUCCAAGAGUGCACUAAAUUCAGAGCUUUGGUGUAAAGUCUGAUGGAUAACAAUGAUUUGAAAUUCUUUGAAAAUGUUAAAGGCUCGGGAAGAGGAGACAUCUGCGCCUUAGAGGGAGGAUCAACAGAGAAGGUUUAUAAGUUCAACCACACAGUGGUGAUUAUUUCACGACCAAGAAGUAAUGAGGCGGGAACACAAACUGUGCCAGAAGUCAUAAUUCAGAAACCCGUGGCUUUUCUCUAUGGAGAUAGCAAAAGGGUUCCGUGAAAUUAUAACUACAACAUGAUGAUCCCAGGAGAGGAGAAAUAAGAAAGAAGAAAGAGCGCGAUUGAGUGAGGGAGAGGUCAAAUGGGAACCAAUGACAUUUCCUCAUAUAUCCAAAACGUUCAUGUCAAGAGAAACCAUUUAUCCUGAAUGAAAGACGUCAAGAAAAGAAACCGCGGAAGAAAUGUUGGGAAAUCUGAGCAUUAACGCUAUAUUCAAAGAAGGAAUUGGAGAAAACUUAUCAGACAUUUGUCCUUAUAUCCCUGGAAGUGUUUUGAAAAAUUGGAUUGCGGAAGAGAUCCCUAAAAUCUUUAGAACUAAUUCAGAGUAGUGUUCAAAACAGGCUUAUUGCUCUAAGCUUGGGAGUAAUAAGAAUCAUUUUUGUGAAAUAGGCAUAUACCAAAUAUAUUUAUUUCAAUAAAAUACAUCUUUGUGUCUCAUUUUGGCAAAUAUUUUUUUAUUUUCAUACUCAUACCACGCAAAUAAUUAUUUUUAGAUUUAUUUGUUCUUUGAGUCUUCCUUUAUUCCUACAAUAGGUCCCCAGAUAUCAAUGAUAUAAGUGACGCUGCCACUAACUCAGAAUAUUUUUUUUAGUAAGAUAUGUGUCUAGAGGAACCUCAGGACUUUAAAGAUGAUCGAGAUUGUAACCUAUCUCCUGAUUUGUUAAGGAUGGUAGAACAAGAUGAGAAACAAAUCCUACAUUACAAAGAGUUAGUAAAAGUUGUGAGCUUAGGAGACGAACAAGAAAAGAAAGAGGUAAAGAUCGAAGCUUGCAUCACUGUAGAGACAAAGUAGGACCUAAUUGAGUUACACUAAGAAUUCAAAGAUAUCUUUGCAUGGUCGUAUCAAGACAUGCCUGGGCUAAGUAAUGAUAUUGUGGUACACCGACUUACCAUAAGGGAAGAAUGCAAGUUAGUCCAAUAGAAACUCUAAAGGAUGAGGCCUGACAUCUUGUUAAAAAUAAAAGAAGAGGUCAAGAAGCAUAUUGACACCGGUUUUCUACAAGUGGUUAAAUACUCGGAGUAGGUAGCUAAUAUAGUCCUUGUUUCUAAGAAAGAUUGGAAAGUACGAAUGUGUGUAGGCUAUAGAGAUUUAAAUAAGGCCAGCCCGAAAGAUAAUUUCUCGUUGCUUCACAUCGACACCUUAGUGGAUAAUACGGUAGGCCUCCUUCAUGAAUGGCUUCUCCGGUUACAACCAGAUAAAGAUGCAUUUUGAAGACAUGGAAAAAACCACAUUCGUAACCAUGUGGGGAACAUUUUGCUAUAAAGUGAUGCCAUUCGGACUGAAAAAUGCAAGAGCGACAUAUCAAAGAGCCAUGGUAACUUUGUUUCAUGAUAUGAUGCACAAAGAAAUUGAGGUUUAUGUUGAUGAUAUGAUCGAAAAGUUCCAAAAAUAAGGAGAGCAUAUACAAGUCCUGAGGAAAUUAUUUUUGAGGUUAAAAAAAUUCUAGCUAAAGCUCAAUCCAGCAAAAUGUACCUUCGGGGCUAGGUCGGAAAAAUUGUUAAGUUACGUAGUCAGUGAAAAGGGGAUCAAAAUUUACUCAGAUAAAGUCAAGGCUAUACAAGAGUUGCCUCUGUCGCGCACUCAAAAAGAGGUCUGGGGUUUUCUAGGGAGAUUAAAUUACAUCGCCCGGUUCAUUUCACAACUAGUUGUGAAAUGCGACAUCAUAUUCUGUUUCCUUAAGAAACACAAUCCUAGCGUAUGGGAUGAAGAAUGCUAGAAGACUUUCGACAAUGUUAAACAUUACUUGUCUAAUGCCCUAGUGUUGAUGCCACCUAGCCCAGAUAGACCACUGAUAUUGUACUUGGCAGUGUUUAAAAAUUUUAUGGGAUGCGUGUUGAGCCAACAUGAUGAGUCAGGAAGGACAGAAAGAGCGAUAUACUACUUCAGUAAGAAUUUCACUGAAUGUGAGACAAGAUACUCGCCAAUUUAGAAGUUGUGUUACGCCUUAAUUUAGACAACCCGAAGAUUGAGACAAUACAUGUUGUACCACACAACUUGGCUUAUCUAAAAAAUAGACUCUCUAAAGUAUAUGAUGGAGUCGAUUAUUCUGAAUGGAAGGAUGACUCGAUGGCAAAUUCUACUUUUCAAAUUUGAUAUAGUCUAUGUGAACUAAAAGGCAAUAAAAGGGAGUGUAAUAAUAGAUUUUUUAGCUAGUAGAGCUCUAGAAGAUUAUGAGCCUUUGAAUUUCGAUUUCCCGAAUAAAGAUCUGAUGUAUGUUGCGAUUACUGAAGAAGGUGUUCAAGAAGAACAUCCCCAGAAAUUAAACUUUGAUGGGGCCUCAAACGCUCCCCAGAAACUAAACUUUGAUGGGGCCUCCAACGCUAUGGGUAACGGAAUCGGGGCAGUCCUGGUAUUCCCAAACAGAGAUCAUUAUCCCUUUACUAGAAAAAUGGAUUUUGAUUGCACGAACAAUAUGGUAGAAUACAAAGCAUGCAUCAUGGGUAUCCGUGCAGCAAUAGAACGCAAGAUCAAAAUACUAGAGGUAUAUAGAGAUUCUGCAUUAGUGAUCUAUCAACUCAAAGGUGAAUGGGCGACAAGGGAUCCCAAAUUGAUCGAGUAUAGAAGGCUAGUCAUGGAGUUAAUUAAAGAGUUUGAUGACAUCACCUUCUGCUACAUCCUUCGAGAUCAAAAUCAAAUGGCUGACACCCUGGCUACCUUAGCUUCCAUGGUUAAAGUGAACAAAAAAGAGGAUGUAAAACCUAUCCAGAUGAGUAUUUAUGAGGCUCCAGUUCAUUGUUACAACAUCGAAGAAGAAGAAAAAGAUGACCACCCUUAGUAUUAUGAUAUACUACGAUAUGUAAAGAAUCGUGAAUACCCGGAGCAGAAAACUGAGAAUAAUAAAAGGACGCUAAGAAGACUAGCCGAUGACUAUAUGUCUUUGACGGGGAGAUCCUAUAUAAAAGAAGAAAGGAUCAUGUGCUACUAAGAUGUGUGGAUACUGUUGAGAGAAAGAAAAUCUUAGAAGUGAUCCAUGAGAGUGUUUACAGAACACAUGCUAAUAGUUUUACAAUGGCUAGACAAAUCAUGAGAUUCAGAUAUUAUUGGUCCACCAUGGAAGGGGAUUAUAUCAAUUAUGCCAAGAGAUGUCAUAAGUCUCAUAAGAUUGAACAUGUGGUAGCCGAGUCCUCUUAGAAGAAGAGAUGUUACAUCUUGGGGCAUCAAAAAAGUACCCUAGAUCUCCUGAACACAUAUCAGGCUCAAAAUGGUCUUCAAGAAGUUUGUGUAGAAAAGCUCAUGAUGCGAUAUUUGAGGCACUUAUUUUCAUCUUACUCAUUCUGUAUUUUAGCAACGUUUUCUAUUUUAAUUAAUCUAUUCAUUUCGAGCUUUGCUCCCAAUAAAUUUCAAUCUUGUCCAUUGUUACAAUCUUUUUCAAGCAUUUUUACAUUGAAAUAAUGAUUAAUGGACUAACAAUAUUUAAGAAAAAAGGUUUUUGCAUAUUGCUCUGAAAGGUUUCUAAAUAGUACAAAGACUUGAAAUAGGACCACUAAUUAGAACUAACCAAAUCUAAGGGUUGGAAAUAUUUAAGAACGAAUAGUUGAAUUGUGAUUAUUUCUUCAAAUUUCCUGUCAAAGAUACCAAAUCUAAACAGGAAGACAUGGCAAUACAUCAGUGAUGGAACAUUAACGAACAACGAGCAAUGUCAACCUAAGCAUUAAAAAGGGAAUCAUUCUCGAAAAAAAUGACAUUCUGCAUGUGCACAAAUAUAAUUCAUAUACAUCUAGUUGAGAACAUUUGAUCGCUUAAAUAAGACCCAUGAAAUGUAUUCUGUAGGUCAUGUUCCCCAGAACGGUGUAACAGAUCAGUGAAACCAUAAAUCCUAUACCCCUGAAGUUAUAGUGGGAUGGAUUGAAGUCAUCGUGGUGAAUUUUAUCUCUCUGAAGUCUUAGUGGAUCAGAUUAAAGCCACGAAUCUUAUCUCCCUGAAGUUGUAAUGGAGCAGAUUAAAGCUACAAAUCUUAUCUCCCUGAAGUUGAAAUGGAGCAGAUUGGAGUUACAAAUCUUAUCUCCCUGAAGUUACAGUGGAAUAGAUUGGAGUUACAAAUCUUAUCUCCUUGAAGUUGUAGUGGACCAGAUUUGAGCACAAAUCUUAUCUCCGUGAAGUUGUAGUGGAGCAGAUUAAAGCCAAAAGUUUUAUCUCCUUGAAGUUGCAGCGGAGCAGAUUGAAGAUAGUGAAUCUUAUCUCUCUGAAGUUGCAGUAGAGCAGAUUGAAGCUACAAAUCUUAUCUCCCUGAAGUUGCAGUGGAGCGGAUUGAAGAUAGUGAAUCCUAUCUCUCUGAAGUUGCGGUUGAGUGGAUUGAAACUACACUUCCUAUACCCCUGAAGUUGCAGUGGAUUAGAACAAUGCUACUUGAAGAAGAGAAGCACCAAAGAAGUUCGGAUCCGACGAGACCAGACAAAAUUGGUCCUUCUUAAAGUCUUUGCUCCAUUUUCGUUACACGAUAACGAGCAAAGAGGGGCAGCUGUGAUAGUCCAAUUUUGCCCGAGCCUGAAUUACAAGAAAAUAAAAGGCCUAAACAUAAGUCAGAUAAAAAAUAAACUGAACCAAAAAUAAAUAAUAAAGGCCAAUAAAAAAGAGAGAGUCUAUUUACAACAAAUGUGGUCUAAUAUGGCCUAAAUGAAAAAACCUUAAAGCUCACGACACUAAAAACUAAACAGGAACCCUAAUGCCUUCUGCGCCGCUCUUCCCUUCACAGGCAUGUCACGCGAGGCUCCUCGUCUCGAGGUCUGAUGCCCCUGUCACCAUUGCACCAAAACGGCAAAGGUAACCCUUCUCUCCCCUCCAUUGAUCGUGCACAUGUACCUGUAAAAAUAACGAAAAAGGACAACAACAGAAAUGAAAUAACACAGCAAAAACAACAGAAACAUUGAAAAAUAUAUAAAAAAGUAAAAGAUCUAAUGUAUUAUUCGGCUGUAAAAGCCAAACCUAAUGUAUUCUUUUUUUACACGAACACAAAGUAAUCAAAAAACAGAAUACAAAAUUCCGAAGGUGAUUUUUCUUUUAUUUAUUUUUUGAAUCUUUUUUUAUAUAAAUAAAACAUAAACUAAAAAGAAAAGGUUGGAAAACACACCUGACGAUUCACGUUCCGCCACCGUGGGUGGCCGAGGUCGUCAUCUCCGAUGAAAGAUGACCCUUUUUUCUAAAGAAAAGGCCACUAAAAUGCAGAAAAACUGAAAGGUUUUUUUUUUGGUAUUUUGGGGAGCUUUUUUGAGUUUUUGACCUCAGAUCGGGGCUGAGAGAAAUAAAGCAACCAAAAUAGCCUUUUUUCAAAAAAUCUAGCCACUGAGGACAGCGGUUGCCGGUGCCGACGAUUGGUGGCCACGGUAGAUUGGCGAUGACUCCCUUGGCCGGACGUGGGGUCGAUUUCAGAGGAAAAAGGGGGAGGUUUCAAGUUUUUUUUUAAACUGUUUCUGAAAUGAUUUUUUUUGAGAAAUUUUUGACAUUUAUAAUAAGUGCUAUACGACGCAGUUUGGGGCAAGUCUCUGAGACCCCAAAACGACGUUGUUUUGGCGUACGACCCAAACGCUCAACUCAGUACCUUAAGAUCCGCGUGUUUUUUUUACAAUUGGGGUAUAAUUACGACCCCGAUCCUUCCGCUUUUUAGAUGAUCUACAAUGUUGUCCGCUUUACCUUUUCUAUUUUACCAUUUAACUUUAUUUUAUUUUCAUUUUGGUCCUUAGGCCAGUUUUGGGAAAUAGACACCGAAAACGGUGCUGUUUCGAUGCUGACCCGAAAAUUGACUCGACCAGAUCCUAGGAUCCAUCUGUUUUUGUGGCAAUGGUCUAUUUGCGACCUAGGUCCUUCCGCCUUUAGACCCUUUUUUAAUUCGGUCCUAAUUUCAUUUUUUUCUUUUUUAGAUUAUACCAUUUGAUUUUAAUCCAUUUUCAAUUUAGUCCUUAUACUGUUGACCCUUCAGGGAAUGACAUGUACACAGUUUUUGGAUUAAUUGUCUUCGAGGUCCCUGGACUUUUGCGUUGCAUUUUAAUUUAGCCCUUUUUUAAUCUUAUUUUUAGACAUUAGAUUUUAUUGGACUUUCAAUUUAGUCCUUUAUUUCCCAUUUCCUUAAUUAUUUUGCGAUUUAUGGCUUAAUUUCCACUUAAUUUUCAAUUUAAUCCCUAAUUUGGUUAACUUUGUUUUUUUUUAAUUUACUAUGCCAUUUAUUUUAGCAUUUAAAUUUAUACUAUUGACGUUUCAUUUCGUUUAUACAUUUUUAUUUUUAUGCACCAUUAUUAUUAUCAUUAUUUUAUUUAUUUAUAUUAUUAAUAUAAUAAUAAUUAUGCUAUGAUUAUUAUUAUUAUUAUUAUUAUUAUUAUUAUUAUAAAUUGAUAUUCUCAUUAUUAUUGUAGUUGCAUUACUAUCAUCAUUUAUCAACACAUUUAUUUAUUUAUUUAUUUUAUCUUUUUGUUCAUUACCCUAAUAUCGUCCUUCCAUUUUUACCUACAUGACUAUUUCAUUUUAUUUCGCUAUCACUAUCCCAUGGGUCAUAUUACAAUGUAUUUAUCGUUUUUUACUUUGCCCAAAUAAAUGUAUAUCAUUUUAAAAGUUACAUUCGUUUUACAUAAUGCAUAAUAAAUAUUUAAAACCGAGGCAAUAUUCAUUAUUUUUAGGAUUCGAGGAGUUGUGCUUCUAACUUACGGAGUAUGUCAUUUUUCUAAAAUCGAAGUAAUCGAAUAUCCAUUUUAUUUAUUUAUUUAUUUUUCUAAAAUAAUAAUAAUAAUUGUCGAAACCAUUUUUUUGAAAACAAAAAUUUAGUUGUCGACUUUAAAAACAAAAAUUGAAGUCGCCACCGAUCCUUGAUUGAGGUGUGAUCGGCUCACCUUAAAAAUAAUUUUGGUCUGCGAAAUUUGAGAAAACAGGUUCGGGAGUCAGUUAAGCACGAGGAAGGGUUAGCACCCUCGUAACGCCCAAAAUCGGUACCAAAUUGAUUAUUUAAUGUCUUGGUGUCGAAAAUUUGAAAAGGCUUUAAAAGAAAACUUCUUAUCUCGUGAAUGAAUCUAAAUAACAAAACGUUCUUAUUUCAAAGAAAUAAAACACCACGCCCAGUGAGUUAGGGCACAAUAUUUUUAAAUCUUCAAAAUACUGAAUAUUGCCUUUUGUUUUAGAAAUUCUUAUUUCGAGAUAAUAAAAUGUCAUGACCAGUAAGUUAGGACCCGACAUUUUUGAAUUCCCGAGAAUAAACUUUUCUAAAACAAAAGGCAAUAUUCGGUAUUUUGAAGAUUUAAAAAUAUUGUGCCCUAACUCACUUGGCGUGGUGUUUUAUUUCUUUGAAAUAAGAAUGUUUUGUUAUUUUGAUUCAUUCACGAGAUAAGAAGUUUUCUUUUAAAGUCUUUUCAAAUUUUCGACACCAAGACAUUAAAUAAUCAAUUUGGUACCGAUUUUGGGUGUUACGAGGGUGUCAACCCUAUAGGAGUCCUGAAUAGGUGCUUUUAUUAUUUCUUGUGUACGUUGAAUUAUGAUUUUAUGCAUGAUACUAACUUGUGUGUUUUGUUUUGGCUGCAUGGCAUUUUUGACUACAUGACAUUUCAUCAUAGAAAAGAGAUGUUGAUUCAUGUUUGGUUGUUAAAUAGAGAGCUUGCCACGGAAAAUGGAUUUCUUGAUAAAGCGGAAGAUAAUACGGUUGUCUGAAUAUAGUCUAAGAAAACAUAACACGAAAAGCCUAACAAGAGGAGUAUACGACUUUGCUGCGUGACCUGAGGAUUCAAAUUGUCAAAGGUUAUUCAAAAGUCACCAAAGGUCCCAACCUCUUAAAGAAGCUAAUGAACGUGAGUAAGCAAGGAGUUACAACCUAGAUCAAACAAAAAGGAGAUCAAAUUCGUGAGAUGCAUCUUAAUACCUGAAUGGUCGAUGUCUUUGCUUGGAGUAUGAGGGCGAAGCCGUAUAUAUAUAUCCGCUUUGUGUAAAGAGAUUUGCUUUCUAGAGAAGUUUUUUACUAAAGAAUUGAACCAGAAUUAAGUAUCUUUUUUGCAUUCAUUUCAUGCAUUUGCAUUCCAUUACAUCAUAUGCAUUAGACACCAUUAAAUAAUCCUAAUUAAUUAAAUCACUGCUCAGUUAUGGCACCCGAGCAAAGAUUAAAGACAUGGAUCAGAGAUUGGAAAAGCUCGAACAGCACCAGAAAGAAAUGCAAGACCAACUCCAGUUACAAGUACAGGAGCGGUUAAACAAGAUGCAACAGGAUAUGUCAGAGAAGAUGCAGGAAUCCCAAAACAAUAUGAUGGCAAAGUUGACCCAACUGUUGACUAGAGGGGGUGAUAAGGGAAAGGGUCCCAUGGCUGAUAUCGAAUAGGGUAACGAGGAUGAAUCACUCUAUCCUCCAGGCUGUACUCAUCCACGUGUACGAACUCAAGCUGAAUAUCUGCACAAAUCUACUGUCACAAUUAGGCCUCAGCAGUUCUAGGCCGGUGCUUCAAAAUUCCAGGCUGGAUCGGGCUCUAACCCCGGAAACAACCCUGCUAACUCUACCAUUCCUGACUUUGAUGAAGUGGCUGAGAAGGAAAGAAUAAAGGAAGAGUUACUGAAACAGUUAGAAGAAAGGUGCAAGUGGCUCGAGGAGAAGUUCAAGGCGAUGGAGGUCACUGAAAGCUAUCGUGGGAUUAACGCUAAAGAGCUGAGUUUAGUCCCGGACUUGGUACUCCCUCAUAAGUUUAAGAUGCCAGAAUUUGAAAAGUACAAUGGGACAAGUUGCCCGGAAGCACAUAUCACCAUGUUCUACAGGCGAAUGGCUGGAUAUGUUAACAAUGACCAACUAUUGAUACAUUGUUUCCAAGAUAACCUCACAGGGGAAGCAUCUAAAUGGUACAAUCAAUUGAGCCGUACCAUGAUCGGUUCAUGGAGGGAUUUAGCACAAGCGUUUAUGAAACAGUACAAUCAUGUAACAGACAUGAUACCUGACAGAAUCACCCUUCAAAAUAUGGAAAAAAAGCCGAACGAGAGCUUUAGGCAAUAUGCACAAAGGUGGAGGGAAGUUACUGUUCAAGUUCAGUCGCCGCUAUUGGAAAGAGAAACAACAAUACUCUUUAUCAAUACGCUGAAAGCCCCAUUCAUUACGCAUAUGUUAGGAAGUGCUACAAAGAGCUUUUCUGACAUAGUUAUGAAUGGUGAAAUGAUCGAAAAUGCUAUAAGGAACGGGAAAAUUGAUGUAGAGGAGAAUAACAAGAGGUCAGUCUCAAAGAGAAGAGAAAAUUAGGUUAACAACACAAGUUACUCUAAAUCAGUUACCAUGAAUCAGCCAGGAAAAGUGGCUGGUAAUCAACAGAAUUCAUCGAGGUAAGAUUCCGGCAUGAAGACUGAGAAGUUCCAGUUUACACCAAUCCCAAUACCGUAUAGGGAACUGUAUCAAAAUUUGUUCGAUGUACGUGUUGUUUCCCCUUUUCAUGUGAAGCCUCUACAACCUCCGUAUCCCAAAUGGUAUGAUGCGAACGCACAAUGUGACUACCAUGCAGGAAUUAUGGGACAUUCAAUAGAGAAUUGCACUGUCUUCAAGAAACUAGUUGAAAGACUCAUUGACAUGGGUGUUGUCAAGUUUGGUGACUGAUCUAGUGCAGAAAAUUCGCUACCCAAUCAUGAUUGAUAAUGGGGUAAAUGCAAUGUAUGAAGAAGUGGUGAGAAAUUUUCACAUCGAUGCCAUAUGUGCAGACACAAUGAAAAUGGUUCUUGUUAGAUAUUCGCCUUUGAGGUGUUCUAAAUAAUUGGACUACAGAAGAACCUCUAUAGUAUUUAGAGUUUGUUAGAGUAAUGUUCAGAACACACUUGUUGCUUUUAGCCUAGAAGCAAUAAGAACUUCUUUGUGAAAUAGGCUCAUGUCUGAACAUUAUUGUUUUAAUAAAACACAUUAUUGCAAUCAUCUUUGAGCAAACGUUCUUUCAUUUUACGAUUCUUUCAUUCUUUUGGAUUUUUUCUGUCAAACCAUUCUUUCAUUCAUAAUCAUAUUAUUUAUAAACUCAUACAUUCUUUGUAUAUUCUUUAGCACCUACAAUAGGUCCCUGGAUAUCAAUGACAAGAGUGACGCUGCUACAGACUCAGAAUCUCCUUUUGAGUGAGACAUGUGUUUAGAGGGAUCUCAUGACUUUGAAGAUGUCAUAGAUUGUAACUUAUCUCUUAACUUGUUGAGGAUGGUAAAGCAAUAAGAGAAACAAAUUUACCUCAUGAGGAGACAAUGGAGACCGUGACCUUGAGGGAAUAUGCAUGACCGAAGAGACAAAGCAAGACAUUAUUGAGUUACUUCAAGAAUUCAAAGAUGUCUUCGCAUGGUCAUACCAGAGUAUGCCCGGGUUAAGCACUGUCAUUACAAUCUGAACAACAGCACGAUAUCAAAAAUUUACAGUAUGUUCCAGAUUAAUAUCAUGAAUGAUGUAGUGAAAACUCUACCAGAGCAAUGCCUCUCUUUUUAGUUUAUAACAGUUUCUUUUUCUAUUGAAGUCAAAUUUCUUUCUCUCCGGGUAUUGGUUAAGCAAGUUGGAUGAAGUAGAACGGAUCCAAUCGCGAUGUGAUCAAUUGAACUUGAUAGAAGAAAAAAGGCUAAAAGCUAUUCAUUACGGUCAGAUGUACCAGAAAUGAAUGAUGCGAGCCUAUAACAAAAGGUUCGUCUCAGAGAAUUCUACGAGGGUGACCAAAUUUUGAAGAUUUUCCCUCUAUAAAAAAUGUUUUGGAGGGGAACGGAUGCCAAAUUGGGAAGAACCUUAUGUUAUAGAGAAAGUUUUUUUUUCCAAAGGAGCUUUGCUUGUGAGCGAGAUGGAUGAUAAGUCCUGUAAACUCAGAUUUAGUCAGGAAAUACUCCGCUUAAAGAAGGAGAUGACCAAGGUAAAAACCAACAAAGGGCACUUUGAGUCAUUAAAAAAUGAUGAAAUGAAAAAAAUAAAAAAGUGAAAAGGAAAAAUGAAAAAUGGAAAAAGUAAAAUGGAGAGGCUAAGGUGAAAACCUGCAAAGGGCACCUUAGACCAAAGGGGAUUUGAGUUGAAAACCUGAAAAGGGCGGCUCAAAUAUUGAUCAGAAUGGGGCAUGAGAUUAUCAGAGCAGCUCAAAUACUGAUCAGAAUGGGGCAUGCAGUGGUCUUGCUAUACCUGAAUCAAUAGAAAAGGGUAAGCGACAUCGUGGGGCAUCGACAAAGUAGUAUAGAUCUCCUAAACACAUGUUAAACUCAGAAUGGUCUUUGAAAAGUUUGUACAGAGAAGUUCAAGCUAUGAUAUUUGGGGCACCUAAUCCUUAUACCAUUUUUGUUAUUCUUGGAACACUUCAUUCGUUUUCAAGACACGCAUUCCUAAAUCAAUUUCUUUGUUAUUCAUCUUUAUUAUCUUUGACAAUUUAUUCAUUUUGAGCUAUAAGAACCAAUUCUAUUUUAUCCAUCAUUUUGUUCUUUUUGCAAGCAUGUUGCAUUAGAAUAAUGAUUAAUAGGCUAAUAAAACUUUCACAAUUGAAGUUUUGCAUAUUGCUCUAGAAGUUUUUAAAUAAUAUAGGAACCUGAAACAGGACUAUUGUUUAGAACGCACAAGGUUUAAAGAUUGGAAAUAUAAUAAGAAAGAGUCUAAAUUAAGACUAUCCCUUUGAACUUUGUUGUCUAAAACAAAAUGACAAGAUGCCGUGUUGGUGACAAAGCUUUAAUGAACAAGCAAGCAAUGAUCACCGAAUAAUAAGAAGAAGUUGUUCUUGGAGAAGAAAAUUUUUCAUUUGUGCAUGUGCAUUUGGUAUGACACCCUGGGAAUGGUGUAAGAGACCAAAGAGUUUCACAUCCUGUAUCCUUGAAUUGUGAUAGUAGAGGAUUGAGAAAAGGCCAAAACUUUUUACUCUUGGGUUACAACGGGAGGAAGAUGGUACAAAUUUUUGCAUCCCAGUGGAUCAAACUUGGAGGUUUACAGUGGGGGCAAUCUGGUCAAGUGUUUCUUUGGAGACGCCAGCCGAGAAAAAAGGCGCUAUAGCACAUUUGCGAUGAAAAUUUAAUAAACUUUGAGUAGUGAUAACCCAAGUGAUAAUGAGGGAUCAUUCUCGAAAAAUGACAUUCUGUAUUCAUCCAAAUGUCAUUCAUACAUGUCUAGUUAGGAGCAUUUGAUUCAUUCUGUUCAUGACAUCCUAUUAGGCAUAAUUAGGUUCAUAAGAUAAAUUAUACAAGUUAUGUUCCACAGAGAACAAAUCGGUGAAAUCAUAAAGCCUUAUCUCCCUGAGCAACAGUGGAGCAGGUUGAAAAGAUAACAGAUAUUGUCUUCCCAUACUGGUGGUGAAGUAGAUCGAAGAUAAUGGAUCUUGUCUUCAUGUAUUGACAUGAAGUAGAUCAGAGAUAGUGGAUCUUGUCUUCCUGUACUGGCAGUGAAGUAGAUCGAAGAAAGCAGAUCUUGUCUUCCUAUACUGGUGGCGAAGUAGAUCAAAGAAAGCAGAUCUUAUCUUCCCAUACUAGUAGUGAAGUAGAUCGAAGAAAGCAGAUCUUGUCUUCAUGUAUUGGCGUGAAGUAGAUCGAAGAUAACAGAUCUUGUCUUCCCGUACUGGUGGAGAAGUAGAUCGAAGAAAGCAGAUCUUGUCUUCAUGUAUUGGCGUGAAGUAGAUCGAAGAUAGCAGAUCUUGUCUUCAUGUAUUGGCGUGAAGUAGAUCAAAGAUAACAGAUCUUGUCUUCCCAUACUGGUGGCGAAGUAGAUCGAAGAAAGCAGAUCUUGUCUUCAUGUAUUGGCGUGAAGUAGAUCGAAGAUAGUAGAUCUUGUAUUCAUUUAUUGACAUGAAGUAGAUCAGAGAUAAAAUAUCUUGUCUUCAUGUAUUGACAUGAAGUAAAUCAGAGAUAAUGGAUCUUGUCUUCAUGUAUUGACAUAAAAUAGAUCAAAGAUAGCAGAUCUUGUCUUCUCAUACUAGUGGUGAAAUAUAUCGAAUAUAGUAGAUCUUGUAUUCAUGUAUUGACAUGAAGUAGAUCAGAGAUAGCAGAUCUUGUCUUCAUGUAUUGACAUGAAGUAGAUCAGAGAUAAUGGAUCUUGUCUUCAUGUAUUGACAUGAAGUAGAUCAAAGAUAGCAGAUCUUGACUUCCCAUACUGGUGGUGAAGUAGAUCGAAGAUAGUAGAUCUUGUCUUCAUGUAUUGACAUAAAGAAGAUCAGAGAUAGCAGAUCUUGUCUUCAUGUAUUGACAUGAAGUAGAUCAGAGAUAAUGGAUCUUGUCUUCAUGUAUUGACAUGAAGUAGAUCAAAGAUAGCAGAUCUUGUCUUCCCAUACUGGUGGUGAAGUAGAUCGAAGAUAGCAGAUCUUGUCUUCAUGUAUUGACAUGAUGUAGAUCAGAGAUAAUGGAUCUUGUCUUCAUGUAUUGACAUGAAGUAGAUCAAAGAUAGCAAAUUUUGUCUUCCCAUACUGGUGGUGAAGUAGAUCGAAGAUAAUGGAUAUUGUCUUCAUGUAUUGACAUGAAGUAGAUCAGAGAUAGCAGAUCUUGUCUACCUGUACUAGUAGCGAAGCAGAUUAAAGAUAGCAAAUUUUGUUCUUCUAAGAAGCUACAACGUAUGAAUCCUAUCUCCCCGACAUUACGGUGGAGUAGAUUGAAGUACCAGUUCCUAUACCUCUGAAGGUGCAGUAGGAAGGAAUAAGGCUACCUGAAGAAGAAAAGCAUUGAAAAAGUCAAGCCAGUAAGACUGGGCACAAUUGGGGCUUUUAGUCUUUACUCUGUUCCCGUUACACGACAAAGAGCAAAGAGGGGCAACUGUAACAGGCCCAAUUGGCCUGGGCCCGCACAAAACAAAGCAGGCAGUCCGUUUUUUGUAAUAGCAGGCCUAAACCCAUCUAAGGUCCAAUUUACCCAAGCCCAUAUCAGCCUUAACCCAAAAAAAGAAAAAGAACCCUACAGAUUUUGCCCCAGCGCCGCAUCACCCUGCGCACCACCCCUUCGCAAACGCCGCACACGCCGCUCCGUACGCCAGCAGUACCUACAACAAGAAACGCAAACAAUACAACGAAGAAAAAUGAACAAAACAACAACAAAAAACAAAAUAGAUUUCUUUUGAUUUUGUUCAUUUUUUUUCUUUUCUAUUUCGGCUAUUUAAAGCCGUGAAAGAUCAGUGAAAGGGGGAGAUACUAAGAUAUACAGAGAAAAAAAUUAAAGGAGAGAUACAAAAAAUUGUUCUUUGAAUAAAGGUGAUUUUUUCGUUCUAUCUUCGUUUAAUGUUCGCCAUUUUUUUAGAUCAUUUGUUUUUAUUUUUGCUCAAAAUAUAAAGAAAGGAGAGAUGAGAUCUUACCUUUUUUGUCGAAGUUGCCGGAUUGUUGCCAUCUCCGUCGCGAUUGGAGCAUUGGCACAGGCGAACCGCGGCGCAAAAUGGGUUAAGAAGAAACCCUAGCAGUGCCAUGGUUUUAAAAAAAGAAUAAAAUGAUUUUAAUUUUUUUUGCUUUGUUUUGUUUAAUUAAAACUAAGACAAAAACGACGCCGUUUUAAUGGCCAGACCCGCGCGUUGACCCGACCCGCAAGUAGGGUCCGCGCGUUCUGGCCUGAAUGGUCCAUUUGCGAAUUUGUUCCUUUAAUUUUUAAAAUCGUUUUUAAAUCAAUUUUUGUUUCUUUUAAAUGUGGCCACACAUCUUAUUUUUGUUUCAAAAUAGUCCCCAUUGCUGCGCAGCGUUUUAGGGGCGGGAUUAUUUUCCCUUUUAGUCCUCCAUUGUUGUUCGCACAUUCAAGUUUGUCCUUUUUUAUUUAUGAUUCUUGAGAAAGAUCGUGUCCUAACUUACUGGAUUGCGAUUAUUUUUCGAUGAAUUUAGAAAGCCAAGUAUUCAUUUCGCAAUAAAUUCACAAAUUUCAAAUAAAAGCUUAUUCUCGGGAAUUCAAAAAUGUCGGGUCCUAACUUACUGGUCAUGACAUUUUAUUAUCUUGAAAUAAGAAUUUCUAAAACAAAAGGCAAUAUUCGGUAUUUUGAAGAUUUAAAAAUAUUGUGCCCUAACUCACUGGGCGUGGUGUUUUAUUUCUUUGAAGUGAGAAUGUUUUGUUAUUUUGAUUCAUUCACGAGAUAAGAAGUUUUCUUUUAAAGUCUUUUCAAAUUUUCGACACCAAGACAUUAAAUAAUCAAUUUGGUACCGAUUUUGGGCGUUACGAGGGUGCUAACCCUUCCUCGUGCGUAACUGACUCCCGAACCUGUUUUCUCAAAUUUCGCAGACCAAAAUUAUUUUUAAGGUGAGCCGAUCACACCUCAAUCAAGGAUCGGUGGCGACUCCAAUUUUUGUUUUUAAAGUCGACAACUAAAUUUUUGUUUUCAAAAAAAUGGUUUCGACAAUAAUAAUAAGAUUUAAAAUAAGACCAAAUGGUGUUUGUUCUUGUUUUUGAAGAUUCAAAGCAUCGUGUCCUAACUCACGGGGUACGAUCUUUUCUCCUCGACUAACUCGUAAUAAGGCCUUUUCGUAAAAUUUAAUUUAGCUAAUUGGUCUUAAAGAACGUCAUGCAAACAAAGAGGGGUCGUAGUUUAAUUUCUCUUUGAAUUUUCAACUUCCGACAUCAAAACAUCAAGUAACCAACUAGGUACCAAUUUUAGGCAUUAUGAGGGUGCUAAUCAUUCCUCAUACGUAACCGACUCCCGAACCCUUUUUUUUGGAUUUGUAAGACUGAAUAUUAUCGUUUUAACAAAUCUAACGUUUUAUUAAAAUGGUCGAGUUUUGAGGUGAUCCAAUCACACCUAUGUAAAAAAGGUUGGUGGCAACUCCAUCUUCGUUUUCAAAAUAAAGUCGAUUUCAAAAAAAAAAGGCUUCGACAAUGUGUAAUAAAUGAAGAAAGUUUAAAAUAAAAACUUUUCUAGUAGUAUCGAAAAUUUAAAAUUUAUUGAAAUCUCUAAUCACUGCUCUGAAAAUGUCUCACGUUCAAGAAUCAAGCCAGAAUCUGUAAAAAUAUUAAAAGAGGGAGUGAGUUUAACUACUCAAUAAGAAACUCACAUUGCCUUUAGUUAGGUUAAGCAAACACGAAAACGUUUAGACCAAAUAUUUAGUAGAAAUUAAUGCAUAAUUGCAAGAUUUAUGGAUAAUUCGUAAUAAAUAAUUCAAAGCAUAUUCUCUAUAUAAAAUGUGUUAAAGACAAACUAAUAAUUCUUGAAAUAUCGAUAGAUAAAAAUCAACUUUCUUUUUUAUCUCUAUGGCCAUCCUUAACCUCAUUGAAAAAGGCCAAAAACCACAACCAACCCUCAUAAGAGUGGGUUGGAGCAAAAAACACAACUAACCUCGGUGGGAAUGGGUCAAAAAUCACUAUUCUAAAUUGGUGGCAUGGUUGAAACCGAUUUCUAAACACGAAAUACAUGUUGACAUGACCAAUGUUUAACUCCCAUUGAUAAGAUUAAAACAUGGUAUAUUAGGAGCAAAUUCAAAACAAUAAAAAUCUGAGCUUAGUACAAAAUAUAUUCCUAUAUACUUAUGGUCAAAAUAUCAUAUAUAAAUUUUGCAUAAAUGGCAUUACACAUUUGAAGCUAGCUUUUUGAGAAUUAAACAUUAAAGGAAUGCCAAAUCACUUACCUAGUCUACUAAACUGACACAUGAGCAACGAAUUUCGCAAAUCUCUUAAUAAAUUAAAAUUUAAGAAUGGAACUUAAAAAUCAAAACUCGAUCAACAAAUUAGAAGCUUAAAAGAUAUGACUUUCCGUAGUACUCCCAAGACUACAUUUCAGUUGUGUGGCAAUCUCCAAACAAACUAGGAAAUAAUUGUAAAAUUUAAUAAAACUAUAUUUUUAAUAUUAUAAAUUUAUUUAUUAUACUUAUUUAUGUUGAAUCUAUUCAAUGAUUUUAUCUAUUUAAAAUUUUAACUAAUUAAUAAUAUAGCAAGAAAAUAUUUUGAUAAUGUUUUAAAUUUUGUAUAUAAUAAAAUUUUGAUUUGAUCCGAUUCUUGUAAUUUAUUAACACAAUUAUUGAUAUAACAUCAUUCUAUGUUUAUAUAUUGCAUACAUAAAUAAUUAUAUUUAUCCAAUAUAAAGAUAUAUUGAUGUCGUUAUUUCUUUAAAUGUGUAUGAUUAAAUCAAAAUUAAAGUUUCAAGUAUACAUUUGAACCACAAUUAGAGUUUCACCAAAUUAAAGUUCAUGUAUAAUUUUGAGCUUAUUCUUCAAUCUAUUCUCCUCUUCAUCAUCUUGAAUCAACAUCAACUUCUAAUAAUGCAAUUAACUUAGUUAUAAUUACAUAAAUGUUGAUUGUUUAUCAAUAUUAACUAAGCAAAUUCUCUGUUAGUAUUCUAUGCAGUUGCAGACAAAUAAAGACCCAAUUUGCAUUCUAAAAGUUAUUUUAUAGGAUUUCUGAAUUUUAACUAUCUUGAAGGUUAUAAAUAUCUAUUUUAAAUUGUUCUAAGGUCUUGUAAUUUUUAAUAAAUGAAUAACUUUAAAAUUUUUAUGGAACAAACUCAAAAAUGAAGCUACAAAAUAAAUAAAGUUGAUUGGUUUAUAAUUAUAUUGAGUUCAUUUAAAGCAUAAGAGGUACCCAACAACACACUCAAGAAACAAAACUUUAAAAAAGCAGAAAUAACCACAAACAACUUUCAUCUCUUCGCCCCUUGCAUGGAUAAAGCACAUACCUUAGAGCUUCAAUUUUCUAUCAUAAAUCCAACUAAAUUUAACAUUGGGUGCUUCCUUAGCCCUUAAUUGAGCUCUCACUUCCAGCUUUCUAAGUCUUUGAGGAAGUUGACACACAAAUUCUUGAGCUUUUCGCCCACCAGCCGAAAGUCCAGUUAAUUCCUUCACCUUCCAUUGAUCCACCAAGAACUCUAGAAUAUCAGUAUAGUCCUUGGUAGUGUAAACUCCAAGUCUUUGUGCAACAGUUGAAAAGUGGUUGAAAAGGUUUUCAUCUUGGCCAUCAUACAUGAAUUGAGCAGGCAUGGUGAUAUUCUUCCUCAUCAUGUCAGCAAAGGCUCGGGCAGUUUCAUCAGGAUCGAUCUCAAACAGCUUUUCAACGAUUUUAGUAUAGGCUGUCUCAUGCCGCUUUUCAUCUGCGGCAAUGAAACCACAUAGUCUAGCCAACUCAAUAUUCUCAUGCCCUUUAGCAAUUUUGGCAGUAUUCUUGUGGGAAAUAAAAGUUGCCCUUUCUUGGAAUGAUGUGUAGAUGUAUGCAAGAUAUGGAUUGUUUUCUGCUUUCAUGUCCUAGAAACAUUCAAAAGAAAAUUUUAUUUAAUAAAGUAAUAGAUAUAGUAAAUAUCUUAUACUACAAGAAGUGAGUAACCUACUUACCAUUCCUGAACCAAUUAAAUACUGGAUUGUCUUUUCGAUUUGUCUCAUGUCGACUCUUCCAGACAAGUAGAGAUACUUAUUAAGCAGAUCACCAUGCCUGUUUUCUUCAGCAGUCCAAGCCCUUGUCCAAAUUGCCCAAGGAGUAGGGCUAGCGCCUGUUUCAUCACGAACUCCAUCUAAGGUAUUAAGCAUUGUUUGGUAAGUCGGAAGGGCUUCCUCUGUGAUCAUAUCUCCAACCAAAACCACAAAGUAAUCAUCUGGGAUCUCCUUUGCCCUUUCCCUUAACUCUUCCACCUGCUCAUUGAAUCCAUCCGACGUAGGAUCUGGA